rnacentral:lncRNA from 1 species
UAGGAAAAGGUAGUGAGGUGGAGCUGCAGCAAGCACUAGCAUAUAUGGUGGCUAACUUACGCAAAUGAGAGCGAGAAGAGAAGCAAAGCAUGGUCGAUAAGCUAUAAAGAUCAAGAAGUGAUCCUGAAACUACUUACGUUCAAGCAUAACACGAGACCGCGUUCUCUUCCUGGACUCCGCCGAAAAGAGACCAUCACGGCUACACACGCUUUUGAUUCAUUUUAAAUAAGUUAAGUGUCAGGUUUGCUACAACCGGAUAUUAACAAAAUUCCCAUCUUCCCAUAACCGCGGGCACAGCUUUCGAAAGUUCAAAACCCUGCAGGGGUGUCCCAACUUAGCCCAUCACAAGCUCUCACGGUCAACGAAGGAUAUUCCUUCUCCCAGGACGACCCGACCAGACUCGGAAUCCCGGUUACAAGACAUUUCGACAAUGGUAAAACAAGACCAGCAAAGCCACCCGAAUGUGCCGACAAAUCCCGAUAGGAGCUGCACAUAUCUCAUUCUCAGGGCACACCGGAUCGUCCAAACUUCCAGUAGGCCAACCCAGAGUUGCCCCUGGUGGCCACCGGCGGCUGGCAAGUUGGACCAACACUCAGAGGAGCACUGGCACGGGGGUUUAAAAUAAAGAUGACCCUUGAGUCCGCGAAACCCAAGGGAAAAAGGCUUAGGUGGGAAAUGGUAAAACCAAGGUUGGGCCUUGCUGGAGGAGUUUUAUUCAAGGCGAACUGUCAAGGGGUUCCCAUUAUAACCCAACCGUGUAAGGAAUGCAAAAUCAAGGAACAUAACACCGGUAUGACGGAAACUAGGGCAGCAAGAGUGGAACAAAACACCAGGCAUAAGGCCGAGCCUUCCACCCUUUACCAAGUAUAUAAAUGCAUUAAAGUAAACAAGAUAUAAUAGUAAUGAUAUCCCAACAAUAAUCAGGUUCCAACAAGGAACAAACUCCAUCUUCACCUAAAACUAGCAACGCUAUAAGAGGGGCUGAGCAAAGCAGUAACAUAGCCAAACAAUGGUUUGCUAGGAAAGCUGGGUUAGAGGCUUGUCAUGGCAAUAUGGGAGGCAUGAUAUAGCAAGUGGUAGGUAUCGCGGCAUAUCAAUAGAGCGAGCAACUAGCAAGCAAAUAUAGAAGUGAUUUAGAGGGUAUGGUCAUCUUGCCUGCAAAGUUCUCCAAGUUGACGUAAGCUUGAUCCUUCUAAGCGUACUCAACGGGUUCCUCGAUCACGAACUCGUCUCCCGGCUCUACCCAAGGCAAGAACACAAGCAAACGAAACACAAUCAACCACGGUGCAAUGCGCAAGCAACAUGAUGCAAAACAUGGCAUGAUAUGCGGGAUGUGAUAUGCAAUGCAUAUGCGAGCUUCAGAAGAAAAAGAUUGAACUAGGCAUCAACCUGGCAAACCAAGUGUGCUGCUUGAAAUAUGAGUAAAUUUCGGUGGAAAUCGAUAUAAAGAUCGCCGGAAUCGGAUGCACGGUUUGCAAAUGGCAAGCAAAACAAGAAUGGCACAAUUCUGCGAUUAACAGCACGAUGCCAUCUAAAAUGCAACAAUAAACUAAGCUACUACACUCCAACAUAGCAACAAAGCACAUGGAAGUGAUCUAAUCAAGAUGCUUGACAAAAGAUGAACACUGAGCUAUGGCUAAAUCACAAAAGAGUAGGUUCAAACAAGCAUGGAAAAAGUGCAAAAGAUAUCAGCAUCACAGACUUAGUGAAAAUACUAACAUGUCAGGAUUUAACAUCAGGAAGCAAUGUUUAGAGCAAGUAAACAACAUGCUACAGGAACAGAUCAUAGCAAUACAAGGCAUGGCAUGAAUCUACUCAAAGCAUAUAACAAAAGUCCCUUGCUGACAAUAAGCCAAAAGGGCACAGAAAAUAUGAUGGCACCCAUGCAAAUAUAGCAAGUUUCGUUAACAGAUUCAGACUUAACAGAAAACUGGACAUGGCAAAAACAGAAUUACGAAGGCCUCUUUGCGAGCUCGAUUCACUCAUCACAAGGCAUUGCAUGACAAGAUAAGCAUACUACCAGAAAGAAGACAUGAUCAAGAAACUAACCAUGGCAAGAACAAUAUCAUAGCAUGCAUGGAACAACUGCAACUACCUUGGCAAAAUUGAUUAACAUGUAAACAAUCUGCCAGGAACAUUUUAUAGCAAAAGUAGAGCAAGAUUGAGUCCUGCUAGGGCACUCCAUAAAUGCAAACAGGAGCAUGGAUGGAUAGAGCAUGACCAUAUAUCAAAAUCAUCCUUACUGAACAUACUCAAAAGAAGCACGGAUCUCUCUGUAGCAACAUGAACACAUGGCAUUAAAAUAACAGUAGGGAAAUGACUUAGUGAAAUUCUAAGUCCCUGAAAUCAGCAAUAUCACGAGAGCUACUUUGCAUGCAUGUGCUAGUCACCACAAAGAUCACAAAACUACAUGGCAUACACCCCUGUGAAUAUGGCAUGGCAUAGCCCAAAACACAUGUAGAGCUCAAGUCCAUAGGAAGCACACAACAAAUGUAGCAAAAAAGACAAAUGCUCAUAACCUGCUAAGUAACAGGAACUAACAUUUUAUAGCACUCUUGCAUAAACAAUUUGGGCAUCAAUAUGGACUCAAACAAGCAUGGUGCAAUGGAACAAAAUGAAGAGCACAUCAUCAUGAACAUUUCGAUAUAUAGCACGCGCAAAAUGGAGCUACGGACGAGAAGUUAUCGCAUGUCGAACAGUGCUUGAAAAUGUUAGGGACUUGGGGGAAAACGGGGUCAACCUAGGGUUUCCAGAUCUGGAUCAGGGCACACAGAUCGAGGUAGCCGGGAUCUCACUGUAGACGAUGGGGACAGCUGCCGGAGCUGGAGUAGGGUCUCGCCGGAGUAGUGGAGGGGGUCGCCGGAGUCGGGGCUAGCGGAGGAAGAGGUGCGCCNNNNNNNNNNNNNNNNNNNNNNNNNNNNNNNNNNNNNNNNNNNNNNNNNNNNNNNNNNNNNNNNNNNNNNNNNNNNNNNNNNNNNNNNNNNNNNNNNNNNNNNNNNNNNNNNNNNNNNNNNNNNNNNNNNNNNNNNNNNNNNNNNNNNNNNNNNNNNNNNNNNNNNNNNNNNNNNNNNNNNNNNNNNNNNNNNNNNNNNNNNNNNNNNNNNNNNNNNNNNNNNNNNNNNNNNNNNNNNNNNNNNNNNNNNNNNNNNNNNNNNNNNNNNNNNNNNNNNNNNNNNNNNNNNNNNNNNNNNNNNNNNNNNNNNNNNNNNNNNNNNNNNNNNNNNNNNNNNUGGUGGCGGCCACGUGGCAGCACGGGAUUGGCCGGGCGGGGCGGUGGACGUGUCCGGCGCCGGGCGGACGUGUCCGGUGGCGGAGUGGGGAAGGGGCUGGGGUUGGAAUUCGAAAAUUUGGAGGGUUGCACAUAUUUAUACAUAGGAGGAGUUUGGAGUGUCCAAAUGGAGUGCGGUUUUCGGCCAUGCAGUCGUGAUCGAACGGCCGAGAGGAUGGAGGGGGUUUGGAUGGGUUAUUGGGCAACUUUGAAGGGGUGUUGGGCUGCAACACACACGAGGCCUUUACAGUUUCCCGGUAACCGUUGGAGUAUCAAACAGACUCCAAAUGGCACGAAACUUGACAGGCGGUAUACCGGUGGUGUACCAAGGUCGCUUGGCAAAUCUCGGUCCAAUGCGAGAAUGUUUAACACCUGCACAUGAAAAGAGGCAAAAGGGGGCGCCGGAGGACAUAGGAGUGUCGGAUUGCAAAAUGGACAACGGGGAAAAUGCUCGGAUGCAUGAGAUGAACACAUAUGCAAAUGAGAUACACAUGAUGACAUGAUAUGAAAUGCAUGACAUGAACACAAUGCAAAACAAAGACAAGAACUCAACCAAGAAUCUCAUAACUUAGAGCCGAAAAUGGCAAGAGUUGGAAUACAAAUAUGGCAAGUUACAUACGGGGUGUUACAAUUGUAUUGUUGUCUUUUCCCAUUAAGUAGUGAACAAAAAUGGGAGCAACCCAGACAUUAUGCUUGUUGCUUUGUUACAACAAACUCUGCAUCACCCCCUUUAUAAGUAGAUGGAAGCACAUAUUGUUGUCGUACCCACUCUCCCCUAGAAAUGUUUAUGCUUUUUGUUAAUCUAAUGCCACUUGUAAAAUUAAGCAAUGCCACUCUCAGAAUUAACUACUGAAUCUUAUUUCAAAACUGCAACACUUAUUAGGGAUUGGCGGGAUUACCAUUUUUGUGGCCGCAUGUUUCAUCCUCCUUUAUUGGCCGGUAAUUGAUUCCUUUUUGCCUCUGUUAAAACAGGGAUAGCAAUUCAACUUGUUGUUAUUGCGACAUUUUGCUUCGCUUAAUUUUGGUGGAAAUGCACAAAAUGAGACCGGAUUUCCAUAUAUGUGUUGAGAUCUCUUUUAGAUCCACCUUAGGUGUUGUUUCAAAUCUUGGUCUUGAAAGGUUUGUACCUACUUUCCUCAGAAUUAACUGCUGAAUCUUAGUUCAAAACUGCAACACUGGUUAGGGAUUGACGGGAGACCAUUUCUAUUAGGGAUCAGCCGGAGUACAUGUUUAAGAAAUGUAUUGUUCAGAUAAUGUCUCUGUUAUUAUAUAUCAGUUACAGUGUUUUACAAAUGGUACUCUCCUGCUUUGUAGUUCUUUCUACAUGUUUAACCAAGGUAUUAUUAAGAUAAUGUCUCUGUUAAAAUGAAUCAGCCGCAUUGUUUUAGGAAUGAUACUUUUCUGCUUUGUCGUUCUUUAUACAUGUUGAAACAAGGCAUUGUUAAGAUAAUGUCUCAGUUAAUAUGAAUGAAUCACACUGAUUGAGAAUUUCUAUUCUCCUGCUUUGUUUCCCAUUAAGAUAAGGUAGAUCAGUAGAUGUUUUUCUCCUGGGAGUACAAGUCAUCAACCGUUAUUUCCCAGUAGUUGUUUCCCUUAUACCUUUUGUUGCUUAUAGGGAUAUCAAAAUUAAAGCUCGGUUUUAUUCCGACUUUGAUUUUAGUUGAACUGCACAAAAGGAGCCAAUGUGUCUAAGGUAAAUUGCUGCAUUAGUGGGUCCAAUUGGUCUUACGACUUUGCAGAAAGAAGUAGUCACUGUUUGUGCUACAUUACACAAGAAAUGAUCGAGAAGCUUUAUAGAGUAUUAGUAGACGCUAGUGACAUGACUAGUCUGCAGAGAUGGCUGCUUUACUUGGGGUUUGGAGGAAGACUGGGCAAACAAGUGUCCAAACAAGUACCAAGAAGCCAGGACAUGACUCCAAGUCUAUCAAUGUCAUUCUAAGCAACAAUGAUGGGGCAUCUGGGUAUGGUAAUAUGUUUACCGUACUUUCAGUUUGUUAGUCCAUCGAUUGGUGGGUUGACACUGGGGCCAAUAUUCAUGUGUGUGCUGAUGUGUCUUUGUUUUCUGGCAGCAUAUAAAUACGAAAUCCACAGGGAUGCUAAGCUUGAUUUUAGUGGAACUGCACAAAAUGUUCAGAUGGUUCAUGUCCUCCAUAAUAAUACUUCAUCAUGCACAAUACAUCGAAUGGUUCUCUAAUCAUUCGUCGUCGCCUUGAGCCACCGGACUAUCAGAUAACAAACUGAUGACAAACCCUGCCCGUUCCACAAUCAUAGCCAUUGCAUACUUUGAAUGGGAAAAGCUUAUCAAAGUUGACAUUAGUUUAAUAUAUUGGAAUUGGAAAACCUUGUCAAUUUUUGUUGAUUGAUGUUAGCCAGAAGACAUGCAUUUGAUAUUUUUGAGUGGGACGGCCUUUGCUAUGAUAAACGUCGGUCGUUUUUUCCUAUUCCUGUCUUCAGUUCAGAAGUAAAUAUUUACUCUGCUGAGAUGCAUAGUAACAUGAAUGUUGACUUAUGUAAGAUAUUUUAAGAGUUUGUUCUGAAUAUUUUUAUGUAAUGCCAGGCCUUGUGUUUGAUUGCAAAGUUGAGCUUGGAAUGUUGUGGCAUGCGGCAUCACGAGCUGUUCACCGUGCCUCCUGACAAUAAUGCUUCGUAUUGUUUUGCAUGUCGAUCUAAUGCCAGUGAUUUGCUUGUUAGGAAGAUCAUCCUCUUCUGUUGUUUCCGUGCUUAAGAAGUUCAUCGUCUUAUGUUUCACUCAUAGCCUAUAUGACAAGUCGGGUAGGUUAGACGUGAAACCAUAAGAUCUUUUGACCAACUCAUCAUCUUAGGCCAUGAUUGGAUCAUCGUUUUCCAACCAAAACCACUUGUAAAACUGACGCUUGUAAAUAAAAGCAGAUGGUCUCGGGCGAAGCGCUUGGUUGGUCAAUUUCAACUAGUAAAAUAUACACCGGUCUCUCAAAUUACACGCGUAACCCGCCGGUUUUACUUACGGACCUCCGGCCCUAGGUUUCAUUACGCCUGUAUUUUACGCAUUGUUUUCGAUGACGAGUAAAUUACACUUGUAUCUUAAUACAGUUGUGAAAUAAACCAGAGCUCCCAAGCGCGGCCUUACCUUUUCAUGCCGUCUCAGUCUCUCAAAGAUGCUCAUAGGUGUCCGAUGAUCCUGGCUUCCUGAAUGAGCAGCGGGCGAUGUAUUAGACCAUCCAUAGGGCGCCCAAGGCCCUCUCCGUCGUCCUUCGAGUUGUUGCGCUCGCCGUGGCACCGGGCAUUGUUAACAUGGUCAAUGAACAUGAGGAUUCAGGAGAUGACUUUAUUUUGACUGGUUGACAGUACGGACCCACUAGGGCCAUAGCCGUACGUACGCAAGUGCCUCCUUAUUAUGUACAACUAUAUUUUUUUGCUUCCUCCUGGUUUCCUGACAUCACGGUCCCACACCAUUGUCAACCUAUGUAGUCAAUAAAUGAGAGAAUUGCACAAGGUGCGGACGACAGCUGGGACCAAGCAGCUCGAGCAGUAUUUGUGUUUUUGAGGCGUGAGCACUGCAGAGUUUUUCUUGGUGACGUUUUCGUUGUUGUUCAGAGGAGAGCAGGGUAUUAACUGGAAGGGAUGUGGCCAGUCUAGCCCAGGACAGAUAUCCAGCCUAGAUAUUAAUUUUUUUCAAGAUAUUAAUUUUUUAAGCCCUAAAAAAGAUAUUAUUUUUUUCAAGAUGAAAAUGGCUAGCCCAGCUAUACGUUUUUUUGAGGAAUACCCAGACAAGGUCAACUUGUUAUUCUCCGCCCCGCUGGGCUGCAAAUCUUUCCUAGGAGGGAUGCAUUAGACUUAACAGGAAAAUGGGCUUUAAAAAAUAAUAAAUGGGAUGUAAUUAUAAAAACUGGGCAGUAACUAUAAAAAUGCACCAAGCACGGAAUUAGUUUAUAAAAUAUUAUUUAUGGAUCUUGAAAAUCUUAAUUUUUAAUUAUUGCACGCGCAAUGUUUCGUUAGAUUUUUACGUAAUACAAAUUUAUAUUUAAUCUGACUAGAAAUUUCGGGAUAAAAAUAUUUCGGAUCCCAUCAAAAUGUGGGAAAUUUUAUUGAGUUCUGUCUUGAACGGUUGGUUGAAAUUAUUAAUCAUUGUCCUAGCUAGAAAAUGGGCUAUACUUUUAACAUACUGUAAAUGGGCUGUAGUAAAUUCCAUUACAAUUCAAAAAUGGGCUGUACAUUCUUACAAAUCGAAAAUGGGCUAUAAGUUCUCUCCCACACACUUGUGGGCCUACUAAGUUGACGCGUCCCCUAAAAAAAGUUGACGCGCAUGCAAGGCUUUGUGAACUUCUUAUAGUCAACACACGGUUCUAGCAGCAGUGGUCGUUGGAUGUCCAUUCAACGAAUGCCGUGCUUCUUCUUCAAUCUCGGAUAUUCUAGCUUCACCCGCCCAAAAAAUGAUUCCUCCCCCUGACAUCUGGGGCGCACCGUUUUGGAAGCUGACCUGUGGGCCUAUUAAGUUGACGCGUACCAAGGGCUUUGUCAACUUAGUCAAUAUGAACGAUUCUACCUGCAGUGACCGUACGAUGUCCAUCCAAUGGCCGUAGUGCUUCUUCAACCUCUGGUCUUCUUGCUCCAGCCGCCCAAAGCAGUGUCGGUCGUGCCGUGUGCUCCUGCCACCCGUGGCCGGCUGUGAUGCUGUGGAGGCCUCACCGCCCCUACUACUCCCACCGUUGGCCAGGCCAUCCCUCUACUCACCCACACCCCUUGUUAUUCCACGGCGACGACAGCCUCACACCGCAGCCGAACCAGUGAACCCUCGUACUCCUCUCCACGCGGGCUUCCACUGCUGCGUCUUCCCCGGCUCCGCGUCGUCCCCUUCCUAGGCCUCGCCGUCGUCCACCGCCCUGGUGCUCUUGGUGCGGCGUGGUUAACGUGGUCAAGGAACGGCUUCCAUUGGACGUGGACUGUACUUGGAGAGGCUGAUAGCUGGGUCCACGAUGGCAGCAAGGAAGUGCCUCCUUAUUACGCAAAAAAUAAUGAUUCCUCCACCUGACAGCAGGGACCCACCGGACGGGCCACCGUAUUUCGCGAAAAAAAUGUUUGCCCCCUGACUGCUAGGACCCAUCGGACGGGCCACCAUAUUGUGUGAAAAAACGUUCCCCCGCUGUUAGCUCGGGCCCACCAGAAGAACCUCCUUAUUACGCACAAAAACUGAAUACUCCCCCUGCUGGUUGGGACCCACCUUGGUGGGAGGCUGACAUGUGGGCCUACUAAGUUGACGGGGACGGAGUGCUUUGUCAACUUAGUCAAUAUGAACGAUUCUAGCUCCAGUGACCGUACGAUGUCCAUCCAACGGCCGUAGUGCUUCUUCAACCUCUGGUCUUGUUGCUCUAGCCACCCAAAGCAGCGCUGGUCGUGCCGCAUUCUCCUGCCUCCCGUGGCCGGCUGUGCUGUCGCGGAGGCCUCACCACCCCCUACUAUUCCCACCGCUGGCCAGGCCAUCCCUCUACUCACCCACACCCCAUGUUAUUCUGCGGCAAGGACAGCCUCACACCGCAGCGAACCAGUGAACCCUCGUACUCCUCUACGCAUGGGCAUCCAUUGCCGCGUCUUCCCCGGCUCCGCGUCGUCCCCUUCUUAGGCCUCGCCAUCGUCCACCGCCCUGGUGCUCUCGGCGCGGCAUGGUCAACAUGGUCAAGGAACGGCUUCCAUCGGACGUGGACUGUACCUGGAGAGGCUGACAGUUGCGUCCAUGGCCGCAGCAAGGAAGUGCCUCCUUAUUAUGCGCAAAAUAAUUAUUCCUCCACCUGAGAGCGGGGACCAACCGGACGGGCCACCGUAUUUCGUGAAAAAACGUUUCCCCCUAACUACUGGGACCCACCAGCUACAUCUUCACAUGCAAGGAAGUGCGUCUGGGCAAAAAAAUGAUUCGCCCCCCUGACUGCUGGGACCCACCAGCUACAUCUUCGCACGUAAGGAAGUGCCUGACAGUCGGGACCCACCUGGUCGAAGCGUACGUAGUGUUGUCAUUCUGGUCGGGAACGUGUAUGUACAUACUGGUCGAUGUAGAGGCACGCACGUGUCGUAGUAGAGGCACGCACGUAGCAUGUACACGUACGUACAGCGGCCAGUCUGCAAGAAAGAAAAUAUAGCCACGUACGUACAUACGGGCAGGGUCUCGAACGCCUACUUGCGCGUAUGUACGGCCAGCGCUGAUGUAUAUGGCUGGGUCGGAACGAAGAAACAGCGUCGUCGUCGUGUUCAUGGGGAGCCAACUGGCUAGGUUAGAACGGAAUGCGUCAUCAUGUUCAUCGGGAGUGCUUGGAUGGAACAGCCGAUGGAAACGAGGCCUGGUGUACCGCAGAACGGAGGAAACGGCCUUGUGUUCGACCGGCCACGUUCGAAACGGGAUCCUUUUCAUCGGGAGGGGUCUGGUGUACCGCAAAACGGAGGAAACGGACUUCCUACGGUCAAAACGGGGUUCUGUUGAUCGGGAGGGGUGUGGCGUACUGCAAAACAGAGGAAACGGACUUGUGUUGGAGCGCUACGGUCAAAAUGGGGGUCAUGUUCAUCGGGAGCGGUGUGGCAUACCACAAAAUAGGACUCCACGGGAUACUGUUCAUCUCUACCGUUGACCCCCUCCAGCAUCCAUGGGCUACUGUUCAUCCACCGUCGGCUCCCUCCAUCGGCUCCUGUUCAAUCACCCCUCCACGGGCUACUGUUCAUUCUACCCUCCACCUUCUACUGUUCAUCGUGCCCUCCAUGGGGUGGUCCUGUUCAUCCUACCCUCCAUGGGGUCCUGUUCAUCCAGCCCCAACCGGCUCGAUCGAUCGGGGGUACUGUUCAUCCAGAGGCAACACCACGGGGUCCUGUUCAUCCACCCCCCUGCAACGCUCACUUUUCAUCCAGAGGAAGCAUCGACUGGCUUCAGUUAGCAGCAGUAGCGAACGAAUUGCUCGAUCAGGUUUAGUUAACAUCCAUUGAUCGAUCGCUCGGGUUCAGUAACACGUAGCUUGUAGUGCAAUCGCUCGGGUUCAAUUAGAGGCCAACGCCUCGCUCGGGUUCAGUUAGAGCCUAACGCCUCGCACACACGCGCGUACAUACGAGAGAAACAUGCAUCGCUCGGCCCCCGACCACCCACUGUAACCGGGGACUCCCCGUUAUUUUCCGCGCCCUCGCUUCUACCAUGGUUUUUUCCAUCGUGGACGGCCCAAAGAAUGCCAUGCAGCUGCGUCUUCGGCCCGCCCAGGACUAAAAGCUCUUUUUCUGUCAUGGUUUUUUGUCAUAGAAGUAGGACCCCACCACAUCUACGGUGAUACCGGGUUUUGUCACAAUUAUCGUCAUAGAAGUGUCAUAAGUAUGACAGAAAAAAAUCGGUCGGCCCAAAAUGUCACGGAUGUGUCUUUUUUUGUAGUGAAAGGCCUACAGUGCGCGAGCUUUAUCGCACGGAAUUACGGGACAAAGCGCAUUAACUGCGCUACGCAGGUGUCCAUUAGCUUUAUGGGGGACGGGAACGAGGCUCGUCCCGUCCGUCGCUGCUCCGCCUCGCUUCGACACACGCACAGGCUAGUGAUGCAUGCAGCGCCAUGUAGGCAGGCACGCAGCUAAGGUGGCGCGGUGGUAGGGCCUUCAUGAAGAUCUGCAUGCUGCCACGCAGGUGCUUGCUGAUUUGGCAUGGAAGCUGCAUGUUGCCACACAGGUGCCUGCCCAACUGGUUGGGCUGGCAGCUGCAUGCGAACGACGAUAGAGUCUUGAUUGAUGGCAGAGUCUUGGCUGGUGCGGGCCUGGUAGUGGCCCUGCUGAAGCCCUCGGCAAGGGUCUUGCCGGGGUCCCGGCAAGGGUCUUGUCAUGGCGUUGUUGUCAUCCCCGGCAAGGGUCUUGCCGGGGGUCUUGUGGAUUUCCUCGGCUAGGAUCCCGCCAAGGGUCGCCGUCUUCUGGUCCUCAUCUAAACUCAUAUGUUUAUGAGCUUGACGAAGAUUUGCAUGCCACCACAGAGGCGCCUCUCGAGCCUUGGUUCCAACGCAGUUGGUUGGGUUGGAGACGGUGGGCUCAAGGGUGGCUCACUACGCUGGCAUAGGGCAAGUUGCCUCGGCAAGGCUCUUGCCGGGGCUACGGGGGAGCCGCCUCGGCAAGGACCUUGCCGAGGGAGUUCACCUUGCCCUCUUGCCCUCCUGUGCUUCUGGUCUUAGCGUUGCCUUGGUUGCCUCGUGCUUCGGCUUCUCUCUAGAUUCCCUCCUCUGCCCUGCUAAGUGUGGUCACGGCGCGUGGCUUUGACUGCCCGUGCACAAGUAAAGGGGUCAAAAGGAGAGCCCCUACUUUUGUACACCGACAUGAGCCCCCGGGCCUGGGCCACCCAUAAGCGCGACGCGUUGUUGGGCUAGGCCCAGAACGGUGCUUGGGCAGGUGGGGCAGAUUUUACAGUAGUAACUUCUCGUCCGCUGUGCUUCCCCAUGACCCGCGUUGAACGCGCGACAUGGAGGGUCAUGCGUGACGUGGGGGUCAUGCAUGGGGCGGUGUCCGCACGCAUGCGUCACAUUAUGGUAAAGAAGCGGCCCGCGCCUCCCCCGUAAAAAGGAAACGGUCGCGGGCACGCUACUCAUUUACCCACUGCGUCAUCUCCAAUCUCAGAGCCGAUGUUCCUCAGGAAGACUAACUCCCAGUUGAGUCAAGUGGUUGUGGUACCCAGACAUUCUGAGUAUAUGCUCACUGACAGAACUAUUCUCCUCCAUCUUGCAGCUGUAGAGCUUAUUGGAGACUUCAUAUCUCUCAAUCCGGGCAUUUGCUUGAAAUAUUAACUUAAACUCCUGGAACAUCUCAUAUGCUCCAUGUCGUUUAAAACGUUGUUGAAGUAUCGAUUCUAAGCCGUAAAGCAUGGCACGCUGAACUAUUGAGUAGUCAUGAGCUUUGCUCUAUCAGACGUUCAUAACAUCUCGAGGAGCUCCUGCAGCGGGCUUUGUACCUAGCGGUGCUUCCAGGAUGUAAUUAUUUUGUGCAGCAAUGAGGAUAAUCCUCAAGUUAUGGACCCAGUCCAUGUAGUUGCUACCAUUAUCUUUGAACUUAGCUUUCUCAAGGAACACAUUAAAAUUCAAAGGAACAAUAGCACGAGCCAUUUAUCUACAACAACAUAGACCUGCAAAAUACUAUCAGGUACUAAGUUCAUGAUAAAUUAAAGUUCAAUUGAUCAAAUUAAUUAAGAACUCCCACUUGGAUAGACAUCCAUCUGAUCUUCUAAGUGAUCACGUGAUCCAUAUCAACUAAACCAUGUCCGAUCAUCACGUGAGAUGAAGAAGUUUUCAAUGGUGAACAUCACUAUGUUGAUCAUAUCAAAUAUAUGAUUCACGCUCGACCUUUCGGUCUCAGUGUUCAGAGGCCAUAUUUGCAUAUGCUAGGCUCGUCAAGUUUAACCUGAGUAUUCUGCUUGUGCAAAACUGGCUUGCACCAGUUGUAUGUGAACGUAGAGCUUAUCACACCCGAUCAUCACGUGGUGUCUCAGCACGACGAACUGUAGCAACGAUGCAUACUCAGGGAGAACACUUAUACCUUGAAAUUUAGUGAGAGAUCAUCUUAUAAUGCUACCGCCGUACUAAGCAAAAUAAGAUGCAUAAAGGAUAAACAUCACAUGAAAUCAAUAUAAGUGAUAUGAUAUGGCCAUCAUCAUCUUGUGUCUUUGAUCUCCAUCUUCAAAGCACAGUCAUGAUCUCCAUCGUCACCGGUUGGACACCUUGAUCUCCAUCGUAGCAUCAUUGUCGUCUCGCCAACUAUUGCUUCUACGACUAUCGCUACCGCUUAGUGAUAAAGUAAAGCAAUUACAUGGCGAUUGCAUUUCAUACAAUAAAGCGACAACCAUAUGGCUCCUGCCAGAUGCCGAUAACUUUGUUACAAAACAUGAUCAUCUCAUACAACAAUUUAUAUAAUCACGUCUUGACCAUAUCACAUCACAACAUGCCCUGCAAAAACAAGUUAGACGUCCUCUACUCUGUUGUUGCAAGUUUUACGUGGCUACUACGGGCUUAGCACGAACCGUUCUUACCUACGCAUCAAAACUACAAUGAUUUUUCGUCAAGUGUGUUGUUUUAACCUGCAACAAGGACCGGGCGUAGUCACACUCGAUUCAACUAAAGCUGGAGAAACAGACACCCACUAGCCACCUGUGUGUGAAGCACGUCGGUAGAACCAGUCUCAUGAACGCGGUCAUGUAAUGUCGGUCUGGGCCGCUUCAUCCAACAAUACCGCCGAAUCAAAGUAUGACAUGCUGGUAAGCAGUAUGACUAUUAUCGCCCACAACUCUUCGUGUUCUACUCGUGCAUAUAACAUCUACGCGUAGACCUAGCUCGGAUGCCACUAUUGGGGAACGUGGUAUUUCAAAAAAAUUCCUACGAUCAUGCAAGAUCUAUCUAGUAGAUGCAUAGCAAUGAGAGGGGAGAGUGUGUCUAUGUACCCUCGUAGACCGAAAGCGAAAGCGUUUAGUAACGCGGUUGAUGUAGUCGAACGUCUUCGCGAUCCAACCGAUCAAGUACCAAACGCACGACACCUCCAUGAUCUGCACACAAUCAGCUCGGUGACGUCCCUCAUACUCUUGAUCCAGAUGAGGCCGAGGGUGAGUUUCGUCAGCAGGACGGCAUGGUGACGGUGAUGAUGAAGUUACCGACACUGGGCUUCGCCUAAGCUCUACGACAAUAUGACCGAGGUGGAAAACUAUGGAGGGGGCACCGCACACGGCUAAGAGAUUUUCUGUUGUGUCUUUGGGUACUCCCCUCCCCACGUAUAUAAAGGAGGGGGAGGAGGAGGCCGGCCAAGGAGGAGGCGCACCAUGGGGGGAGUCCUACUAGGACUCCAAACCUAGUAGGAUUCACCCCCCUUUCCUAUUCCAAGUGGGAGAAGGGGGGAAGGAGGAGGAGGAGAGAAGGAAGGAGGGGGCGCCGCCCCUCCCCGCGUCCAAUUCGGAUUGGGGCAAGGGGGUGCAUGCCACCUCCUGGACAGCCCUUUCUCUUCUCCACAAAGCCCAUGAGGUACUCCAAAACUUAUCCAAAACGACCCGAACCAUUCCGAUGUCCGAAUGUAACCUUCCAAUAUAUGAGUUUUUGUGUCUCGACCAGUUCGAGACUCCUCGUCACAUCUGUGAUCUAAUCUGGGACUCCGAACAACCUUUGGUCAUCAAAUCCCAUAAACUCAUAAUACAAAUCGUCAUCAAAUGUUAAGCGUGCGGACCCCACGGGUUCGAGAACUAUGUAGACAUGUCCGAGACACAUCUCCGGUAAAUAACCAAUAGAGGAACCUGGAUGCUCAUAUUGGCUCCUACAUAUUCUACGAAGAUCUUUAUCGGUCAAACCGCAUAACAACAUAUGUUGUUCCCUUUGUCAUCGAUAUAUGUUACUUGCCCGAUAUUCGAUCGUCAGUGUCAUCAUACCUAGUUCAAUCUCGUUACCGGCAAGUCUCUUUACUUGUUCCAUAAUGCAUCAUCCCACAACUAACUCAUUGGUCACAUUGCUUGCAAGGCUUAUAGUGAUGUGCAUUACCGAGAGGGCCCAGAGAUACCUCUCCGACAAUCGGAGUGACAAAUCCUAAUCACGAUCUAUGCCAACUCUACAAACACCAUCGGAGACACCUUUAGAGCAUCUUUAUAAUCACCCAGUUACAUUGUGAUGUUUGAUAGCACACAAAGUGUUCCUCCGGUAUUCAGGAGUUGCAUAAUCUCAUAGUCAUUGGGAAUAUGUAUAAGUCAUGAAGAAAGCAAUAGCAAUAAACUAAACGAUCAUAGUGCUAAGCUAACGGAUGGGUCUUGUCCAUCACAUCAUUCUCUAAUGAUGUGAUCCCGUUCAUCAAAUGACAACACGUGUCUAUGGCUAGGAAACUUAACCAUCUUUGAUCGACGAGCUAGUCUAGUAGAGGCAUACCAGGGACACUCUGUUUGUCUAUGUAUUCACGCAUGUACUAAGUUUUCGGUUAAUACAGUUCUAGCAUGAAUAAUAAACAUUUAUCAUGAUAUAAGGAAAUAUAAAUAACAACUUUAUUAUUGCCUCUAGGGCAUAUUUCCUUCAGCAAUGAUAAUUUCAACAUAUUCUUUAUCGACCCUUUGGAAGCUCUUCUUGUCCACAUUAUCAUGGACAUGUCUUGCUAAAGUUGCCUCUUAGGUAGGAUGGGCCGAAUCUGAGAGGUUUUGCAAUUUAAUUUUCUUAACCUUGAUGUUAAUUUGUGACAAAUUUUAGUUGGAAAUGCUUGAAUGUUUGUUUGAAUCUAGUUGAAAUUUACACAAAAUUUUAUGAUUUCUCAAAACUUGCAAAUUUUUUUGGUUAAAACCUAUUGAAAACUAUAAAGAUUUUGUGGGUUUUGGUUGGAAGUGCCAUACAGUCCAUGAAAUUUUGCGGAUACCAUUGAAGUUCAAUUACAAAUAUGAUUUUCCCUUCAUGAAAGGUGUGUAUAUGGUUGAAAGUUGUUCAUAGGCUUGAAAUACGUAGCGCUCAUCACUGCUAGUCACCAUGUAUGCCCUCCAUAGAAUAAAUUUUGUAGUGGAGGAGAACAUCCAAGAAGCUGAAGGGAGGCUUCAUGGGAUGAACCAUCGGGUUGGUCACUUUCCAAAAAAAUGGGAAGCUUUGUGUUGUUUCCUACUAUGGGGAUGGGAUGGUCCCCUGGGUUGCUGUAAAUUAUCAUUGCCUUUCAUUCAAACUAUUUUCAUUUCAUUUCAUUUUUUGAAAUGGAAUGAGAGCCUGCUGUCAGUGUCAAAACCAGUAGAUCUCGGGUAGGGGGUCCCGAACUGUGCGUCUAAGGCUGAUGGUAACAGGAGGCGGGGGACAUAAUGUUUACCCAGGUUUGGGCCCUCUCGAUGGAGGUAAUACCCUACUUCCUGCUUGAUUGAUCUUGAUGGUAUGAGUAUUACAAGAGUUGAUCUACCACGAGAUCGUAGAGGCUAAACCCUAGAAGCUAGCCUAUGAUUAUGAUCGUUGUUGUCGUACAGACUAAACCCUCCGGUUUAUAUAGACACCGGAGGGGGCUAGGGUUACACAGAGUCGGUUACAGAGAAGGAUAUCUACAUAUCCGAAUCGCCAAGCUUGCCUACCACGCAAAGGAGAGUCCCACCCGGGCACGAGACAAAUCCUUCAAUCUUGUAUCUUCAUAGUCCAACAGUCCGGCCAAAGUAUAUAGUCCAGCUGUCCGAGGACCCCCUAAUCCAGGACUCCCUCAGUAGCCCCUGAACCAGGCUUCAAUGACGAUGAGUCCGGCGCACAGAUUGUCUUCGGCAUUGCAAGGCGGGUUCCUUCUCCGAAUACUCCAUAGAAGAUUUUGAACACAAGGAUUGUGUCCGGCUCUGUAAAACAAAUUCCAUAUAUCACCGUAGAGAGUAUAAUAUUCCACAAAUCUAAUCUGCUGACAACUUUUCAUAAUGUGACAUCCUGCCAUGGUCCGGUCAUUACGAACCGUUUUUCCCGGCCUGCCACUGCACGUGUUGCGAGGCGGUUUUAUUGGCACGUCUUGUCGAAGCAGAGAUGAUGUUCCCCUUAUCACGGGAUUCUCAUCAAUACGGGUGUGGGUAACCCAAUUGUGCUUGUUAGUACAACCCAAACGGCCACACGGAGGAUGCUUGGUAUUCACCUUCUUUAUAAAGGGGCCAAGGCCUAUCCUUUUCUUCUCGCGCUCGAUCCUUCCCUUCCCCCACCCCGAGUUCCAACAUCCAAGGCUGAGGCUAAACGCUUCGCACCUUCAACCAUGUACGGAUCCAACCUUCAAGGUCGGUGGAUGGCCUCCUCUGUCACAGAGGAGGACAUCAAGAAGCUAAGGGAAGCCAGGUAUCUGACUGCCGAAAUCUCACACAGGCUGCCUGCUCAAGGGCAGGUCAUCCCCACUCCCGAACCCAACGAGAGUGUCGUAUUUGUUUCCCACUUCCUCCGAGGGCUAGGCUUUAGUCUUGAUCCCUUUGUUAGAGGGCUUAUGUUCUAUUACGGGCUCGAUUUCCAUAAUCUAGCUCCAGAUUCCAUCCUUCACAUCUCAUCGUUUAUCGUCGUGUGUGAGGUCUUCCUCCGCAUCACCCCACACUUCGGCUUAUGGCUCAAGACCUUCAAUGUGAAGCCGAAGAAGAUCGAUGGGCAACAUGCAGAAUGUGGAGGUGCCAUAAUAAGCAAAGGCGCCGAUGCUCUAUGGCCAAAGGGUUCCUUCCCGGAGGUGUCCAACUUAUGGCAGCGAGAGUGGUUUUACAUCACAGCUCCUCGAGGUACAAAGUGAGCUGCUGCCCGUGCCCUCAGCUCGGGCCCCCCCGCUGCAACUGGCAUCAUGGGUCAACAAGGGGCUGGACUGGAGGCCAGUUAAUGACGUGCUGACAUUGCAAAGUCACAUCCGAGAUCUCCUCAAGAGGGAUGUCAGUCUUGUCAAGGUAAUGCAAGUUAUCCUAGUUCGUUGGGUCCUGCCAUGCCAACGUCAAUUUCUUCGUAUGUGGGAGUUCAACCCGGAAGGACCGUGAACAAUUCAGCAAUUCUUUGGCGUGACGCUCGAAGAGAUGUAUGGAUUGUUCUUCGAAUCACGAAUAAAGUGUACGGACACCACCGAGGAUGCGGGUCUCAACUGCAACCGUUUAGAUACCCACGUAAGUAAUUCCGCGACCGAACAUGCUGUCUUUUUAUUUGUCAUAACAUCAUUCUGAAAAAAUCGUUCUCGUCCAGGACUGGAUAAAAAAGGCGGAGAGGAUCAGGUGUUCGGCCACCCUUCCAGAAGGCUCAACAGAUCAUGUACUAGCCAGGAUGCUUGAGCACGCACCUUAUCAAGUGCCAUCAGGGGAAGAUAAAGGGAGGAAUAAAGAAGCCGAAAGGGGGCUUCACAUAUUACUCAUCCAAACCGGGGAUAUUAGCGUCUCUGUGAAGGAGGAUAAUCGGGAAGAAGAAUCUAGAAUCCCCUCUCCCCAAGGAAGGAAAAGGACCGCCUCUGAAGACAUGGAAACGAUGGUUUCCAAACGACGGAAGAAACCUUCGCCAGGGGGCCCUGCCCCGGAGGGUGUCCUUACCGCACAGUGCCCGCAAGGGGGCCAGCCCUCCACCGAGCUGUAAGCGAACAAGAGUACUUUGGUAAAUAUAUCCUGCUUUAUCUCUUAACACGGGCAAUAACCCGAGACAUAUAUCUUGCAGUCCGGCACGUAUCCCUUCUCGACAGAGUUCGUCUUCGGGGGAUCUUCUUCCGGAGAUGAUGGAGAGCGAAACGCCUCCUCCUGUCUCCCCGCCUCCUGGGGCAGAGGACCCUGAGGUGUCAUCACGGAGGAUUUCUCCUGAUCUGCCAAGGCCAAAAGGUAACCCUUCAACCACCCGAAGUCCAGAGUAUUCGGCUCCUAAGGAGAGCAAUAGAAAGAGUCUGGGACUGUCCGGUGCACAACCGGACGCACGGAUGCGUGUUUUGGAGCAAGCGGCUAUCUUAGAGGCGCAUCGUACUUUAAUGGGUACGGUGGUUGAGAGGAUUUCAUCCGCCAAAAGUGGGUUGCAUGAAGAUUUUACGAGCCUGCUAAGAGGCUUUGUGGUACGCAAAGUAAUAUAUAAAUUUUUUGACGGUACCGCACACGCUAGGUGUGCUCUAUAUAGAGAGUAGCCCCUAAGACUCUGGUUGCUGUCCAGAGGCGGCAAACAAAGGAUCAUAGUCCUAGGUAAUGAUCGCGUUGCUUUCAUGUGCAGGUGGCUGAGGGUCCGGUGGCUGGCCGGACUGCUGAGUUUGCCGGACUGAGGCGGCAACUUGACGCGGCAGAUGCCGACAUUGCACUUGUGAACAAGCGGGUUGACGAGGCACAGGGUAUGUAUUUUCGGGUGGUCAACAAAUAUUAAGAGGAGCAUGAUGCUAGUAUCUAUAAUAUGAUGUGACUGCAGAUGGAGCUGCCGCCAUGGAGACCCUUCUGGCAGGACUUGCCCGAGCCCAGGAACAAGCCAGGAGAAGUGAUGCGGCCGCCCUAAAGGCGGCCGAAGACUUAAGAGCCAAAUAGGCUUCUCAUCGCCAGAGCGAAGAUAAAAUAGCCAAUAUGGUUGUUGAGCUGAAAGAUGCCACCAGCCGAUAUGAGCUUCUUGAAAAGGAAAGCCAGGAGAAAGCGGCUGACCUGAAGAAAGCCGUGGAAGUAGCCAAGGAAACCCGCUCUAAAAUCAAAGCGGCGAAGGAGGAGCUCUGUCAAGCCGGAAAUAUCACGGCUGGGAAGCCCUUUUUGUUGCGAACGAAGUUCAGAGAUCCGAAGUAUGCCCCUCUGGAUCAAUUAUGGAGUGAUGCAGACACGUACUUGGACUUGGCAAUGAGUGUUGCUGAUGCGACUGAGUUUUUCAAAGAUCAGAAAGAUCAUGAAGUGGAAAGAUUGUUCUGGUCGCAGUUCAGUGCUCCAACGCGUCCGCUGCUGUCAAAAUGAACAAAUGGCCAAGUGGGCCAAGCUCCAUAGGUUGUCCGGACUUGCCAUGAGGUCUGUCGUGGAUCAUCUUUGGCCGAAGGGACCAAGGCCGAAUAGUUAUUUUGGUUUAGUGCAAGGAUUCCUUUGUGUUGUGCCGCAUAUCGACGUUGUAAAGAGGUCGGCGUGCAUAGAGGGUGCACGGAUGGAUCUUGCCCGUGUUAAGACAUGCUGGGCAGAGAUGGAGGCCAUCGCUUUUGCAACCCGGGAUCCGGCCGUAGGCCAGGUCUCGGCUGAGCACUAUUUUGAAGAAGUCCUAGAAGGCGUCGUUUAAUAGAGGCGCAGUGCUCGAAGAGUAUCAUGUUCGAGUGACAUGUAUCCCAAUUGUAAAAACAAUGCUAUUUGGAUUAUAAAGGCUAUGUUUAUACUUUUGCCUGAAAGUAUUAUAAUGCCUCAUGUGCGGCCGUUUAUGUAUGUAUAUUACCUAAAAGUUUGGAGUCAUCGGCUUCAGCCCCCACGCACAUAAUGCGGGGUGUUCAGAAAAGCACAUAUUCACACUUGACCCAACGUCUUAGUCCAUUAAGGAGGUGAUAGCGCGGCGAACAAGGCAAUCAGACUAUAUAGGUUUAACACUUUCACUUAGCCAUAGGAAUUUGACGGUGGGGCUACUAUAUUGCCCCUGAUACUUCCGCGCUCAUUGGAAUAUGGUGCGUUUACAUACAUGACCGGGAAACCGAUCCUUCGUUAAUGCAGAGGAAUCACGAAGAUUCCGCUGAGUCAUCGAGUGGUUGACCAGUCGCACGCUUUAUCAUGACCGUUAGUUUUCGACUUUCUCUACUGAGGUGCUCAUCCAGAUGAACCAGGGCACAAUCGCAGUAGUUCUCCUGGUUCCACCUUAGCCGAUAGAGCGGAACGUAAGGUAGCAAAACACGGGAGCCGGGCAAACCCAACUAUUGACCAAAGACAUGAUUCGGAGCUGAUGCAUAUAAGGCAAAACUCGCGACGCUGAACACUCCCUAAGGUAGUUGGACUUUACAACAUAUACUGGGCUGAGUAACGCCCUCGAUAAUGAGCCCUAAAUUUCUAGGUACUUGCAUUAGUCUGACGUGACGAAAUGCCAAAUAACGCCAGCAUCCCUUUCGGUUGUGUUGAGUAUCCGAAGGGAGUGAAGCAACAAGAGACAGUAAAAAAGGUUUACACAGGGUCUUACUCUAAAAAUAAGCCUUUGAGCAUGUGUCUCCGUUGUGCCGUAUCCUGGAAGGGUGUAGCACAGUGAUCAUUUGUAAAAGAGAAAAACGCAGGUGAAAGUCUUCGUGCGAAAAAUUGGUUAUUCUUAAUGAACCAUUAAAAUGCAAUCUAAAUAGGUUCAAGCCGAACUGUAGCCCUUUUUACAUGCGGGAAGCCCCUAACACCACCUAUGGGAGUAUAUCCAUCAGCCCAAUCUCAGGUUUAUCUCAGGUGUUACAGCUAGUGGUGUGCCAGAUUCGUCUAACCGUGUCUGCGGUCUUGACGACCGAUCAUUUCUUCUGGUUGGAGAGGCCGUUCAGUUAUUGGCUGCUAGAGCCGCCACAUAUUCCUCCGUACGUGAGUAACGCUCUGUGUUUCCACUAACUAUGAUGAUGCAACAUGGACCGGGCAUCUUAAGCUUAAGAUAAGCGUAAUGCGGUACUGCAUUAAAAGGAGCGAAGGCCGUUCUUCCAAGUAGUGCGUGAUGGCCGCUUCGGAAUGGAGCGAUGUCGAAGGUUAAUUCUUCACUUCGGAAGUUGUCGGGAGAACCAAAUACAACCUCUAGUACUAGAGAGCCCGUGCAGCGGGCCUCUGUGCCUGGUAUUAAUCCUUUAAAGGUAGUAUUGCUUUGGCUGAUUCUUGUCGGGUCUAUCCCCAUUUUGCGAACGGUGUCCUGAUAUAUCAGAUUAAGACUACUGCCGCCGUCCAUAAGGACUCGGGUGAGAUGGUAUCCGUCAAUUAUUGGGUCUAGCACCAAGGCAGCCGAUCCUUCAAGCCGGAUACUACUCGGGUGAUCCCUGCGAUCAAAAGUGAUCGGGCAGGCCGACCAAAGGUUGAACUUGGGGGUGACAGGCUCCACGGUGUAUACGUCUCAGGGUGCGCGCUAGCGCCUCCUCUUCAGUAUGUGAGUUGCAUAAAUCUUGUUCACUAUUUUGACCUCUGGUGGGAAUUUUUUCUGUCCCCCAGUGUUCGGCUGGCGAGGCUCAUCCUCGUCUUCGCUUGGUGUCUCCCUCCCCUUUUGUUCGGCGUUUAGCUUGCCGUCCUGCUUGAAGACCCAGCAUUCUUUGUUGGUGUGAUUUGUAGGUUUGUCGGAGGUGCCAUGAAUCUGACAUAAUCUGUCUAGAAUCUUGUUUAGGCUGGACGGUCCAUCUCUGCUGCCUUUAAAUGGCUUUUUUCCGUUGACCGGGUCGAGAGCCCCUGAAUCCGGCAUUUACCGCCGUGUUGUCUGGGCUAUCUUCAUUGUUUUGAUGCUUGCUUUUAUUGCGUCGCGGUUUCCCAUUGCCAUCCUUGACUUCGGAUGUGCCUGGGUUGCUGGUGCUGCUACGGGCCAGCCAACUGUCUUCGCCCGCGCAAAAUCGGGUCGUAAGGCUUGUUAGGUCUGUCAUUGUCCUCGCCUUUUCCUGGCCGAGGUGUCCGGCGAGCCAUUCGUCCCGGACACUGUGCCUGAAAGCCGCCAAGGCUUGAGCAUCCGGGCAGUCGACGAUUUGAUUCUUCUUCAUGAGAAAUAUGUUCCAAAGCUUUCGAGCUGACUCUCCGGGCUGUUGAAUUAUGUGACUUAAAUCGUGUGCGUCCAGAGGUCGGACAUAGAUCCCUUGAAAAUUGGCCCUAAAAGCAUCCUCAAGCUCCUCCCAGCUUCCAAUUGAGUUUUCAGGGAGGCUUUUCAGCCAGUGUCGAGCUGGCCCUUUCAACUUGAGGGGCAGGUAUUUGAUGGCAUGGAGAUCAUCUCCGCAAGCCAUGUGGAUGCGAAGGAUAAAGUCCUCAAUCCAGACCCCAGGGUAUGUCGUUCCAUCGUAUGCCUCUAUGUUCAUGGAUUUGGAUCCCUCUGGAAAUUCAUGACCCGGCACCUCAUCGGUGAAGCAUAGGGGGAGCGCAGCACCCCUGUAUUUGGAUGUGUCAUGGCAUUCUUCAGACGGUUGUAGCAUUUGGUUUUGAUUCCGAGAUGUUAUUCGGUCAGUAUAGUCGUUUGGGCGGCCAUCAUUCUGUGCUGGAGCGCGCUUCCUAGAUCCGUAGAUGGACCUGGCCGUACUAGAUUUUUUGUGCAGGUCUUCACGUAAAUCGUGCGCUGACUUGUGUGCGAUGUCAUUAGCCGCCCUGCCGCGGCCACGGGGUGGUCGAUCCGGCUGAUCGGCCAUUUUAUUUUUGCCUGAAUGGGCUCUAAACCCUCAUCAUCAAAUUCACGCAGCAGCUUGCGCUAGAUAGCUCUUUGUGUGGCGACUGCCGCCGUACUUUUCUUUAGUGUCAAGCACUUUGUUCCAUCUGCUGUUGAGCAUAUUCUGCGCGGCCUUAAGCCUUUGCUUCUGCUUCUUCAGGCUCCUCGCGGUGGCAAUAAGCAUUCUAGGGAGGUUCUCUUGUUCCAAAUGCCUUUCCCGGAUGAUCUGUGCAUCGUCGUCCAGACUGUUCCCCUCUUCGGAGACAGGUUGGUGAGCUUUACCCUUGGUGUCGCCGUGAUCGGACAGCGGCUCUGUACUAUGUUCGCCGUCCGCUGGCUCAUCCUGCUCCAUCGCUGGGUCCACGUGGCCGUCGUAUCCUUUGGAGUCGACCGGGGUAUUAUUCUUUCUUGCACUAUUAUCACUAUUUUUGUUGAGGCGGAAUUUGGAGCGACGCCUACCUCGUCGCUUUGGUUGCUUCUCGAGGGGACUAUCCUUCGCAGCAUCCUCCCAUUCUUCGUCGUUGUUUUCUUUGGGUGUAUCCACCAUGUCUAUAUCGUGUGAUUAAGUGGCUGUCAAGCGCCCUAUGGGCGAUGGUUCCUGUUCCUCUCCUGCAUCGAUGUCCAUACUGUUGGUGUCUUCGGAGUCGAAAUCAAGCAUGUCGGUUAAGUCGUUGACAGUGGCUAUUAAGUUGGUGGUGGGUGGGGAAUGAAUUCCUUCGUCAUCCGCUUUCCACUCGAGCCGGACAUAGUUCGGCCAAGGGUCUCCUAACAAGGAGAGGGACCGCAAUGAAUCUAGCACAUCGCCCAAGGGCGAGUGCUGAAAAAUAUCCGCGGAGGUAGACUCCAUGAUCGAUGCCCAAUCAGAUCUGAUAGGCAUGGAUGCAGGCGGUUCGGAGCCUGUGGCCGGGGACGAAUCCAAGGGUCCGGUAACACAGGUCUCAUAGGAGGUGAAGUCAGUAUUCGGCUCUAUCGCUGCUGAGUGUGCGGCCUCCGUGGAGGGGUCCAUCCACCCGUCCUUGGAUGGCACGAUCUGCUCCGAAUUGAGGGCCGGAGUAACUGCAGGUGCGAUCUCCUGAACACCGUCCGAUGGCAGAGCUAAGUCAUGCUCGUCAUGACUGUGCGGCGCGCUUGACAUGAGCUCGAAUCCGUCGAAGAUCAAGUUUCCACGGAUAUUGGCAGUGUAGUUCAAUCUUCCAAGUCUGACCUGAUGGCCAGGGGCGUAGCUAUGGAUCUGCUCUAGAUGGCCAAACGAGUUGGCCCGCAGUAUGAAGCCGCCGAAUACAAAGAUAUGUCCGGAGAGAAUAACCUCACCCUGGAUCGCAUCGUUGCCGAUGAUCGAACGAUCCAUCAAGCCUUUAUCAUGGCGGCACAGUGGAACUCUCAAUGAAAGCACCAAUGUCGGUGUCAAAACCGGUGGAUCUCGGGUAGGGGGUCCUGAACUGUGCGUCUAAGGAUGAUGGUAACAGGAGGCGGGGGACACAAUGUUUACCUAGGUUCGGGCCCUCUUGAUGGAGGUAAUACCCUACUUCCUGCUUGAUUGAUCUUGAUGAUAUGAGUAUUAUAGGAGUUGAUCUACCACGAGAUCAUAGAGGCUAAACCCUAGAACCUAGCCUAUGAUUAUGAUUGUUGUUGUCCUAUGGACUAAACCCUCCAAUUUAUACAGACACCGGAGUGGGCCAGGGUUACACAGAGUCAGUUACAGAGAAGGAGAUCUACAUAUCUGAAUCGCCAAGUUUGCCUUCCACGCAAAGGAGAGUCCCACCCGGACACGGGACAAAGCCUUCAAUCUUGUAUCUUCAUAGUCCAACAAUCCGGCCAAAGUAUAUAGUCUGGCUGUCCGAGGACCCCCUAACCCAGGACUCCCUCAGCUUCAAUUACAUUUUGUUGCCAUCAAUGGGGUAUAGGAGGGGGAACUUUCCUGGCAGCUCACGACACACACCAUUCAACUAAACAAAUAUAAACAAAACAUAAAAGGCAAUGAAAGACACCUAAUCAGCCCCUGCACCGCUUCCUCCCUAGGGUGACCUGACCGGCAGCCCAACCCGGCUACCUCCUACCCCUUCCCUCUUCCUCCCCCUCACCAUCGUCGGUGCCUCCACCGGGCAAAGCCGGCAUGGAUCCGGUGGUGGCGGGGCCUGUUCCUGCUGCAGUGGGAGGCAUUUCUUGCGAGCAAGGAUGCUCGUGGAGGCGAUUGGCAAGAGGUUGUGCUUGUCAGUGAUGAGUCACAUUAGCAUGUGUGAGUAUCGCGACCGUACUGAGGUGCGACGGGGUGGUGGAUAGGCGCGGGACCCUGAUCACGUGGGCCUCCUACCCCUGCGUGGCAGUGUGGAUCCGGAUGGAUCUGACGCUUAGAGCACCUCCGAUAGAUGAUGUAGAUGUAUAAAAUUUUACUCCAAAUUUACAUCUGAUGUAAAAUGCAUCACCAAGUGAUGCAAAUAUACAUCACCGGUCGCGUGGUGAUGUAAACGAUCAGCAGCAACAUGAACACCCAACUGCAAAUCCGAAACUUCCCACCUCCCGCCGCUGGCAAUUUCACCCCAGAAAUGAUGCCACUGUCACUCGUCCAUCCACCUCUGACCCUGCCGCCCAUGCCCGUUGUUAGCCACGCCGCUGGAGCUCCCACCGACGCACCGAUUUGGACCCGCUGCCACCAUUUUUUGACUAAUUCGCCUGUUCGCCAGAGUGUCGACGACCGUUAUGGCUCCAACAGCUCACGACCGCCUUCUUGAGUAGUGUUGCUUACCACCGGAGCUAGUGGGGGCAGCCGCGUGACAAUCGCAACCCUGAUGAGCGGCCAUUGCUUCAGUUAGCGGCGCUAGCGUUGCGUUGCUGCAAAUUGACUCCUUCGCCAGCGGCCAGCCGUUCAGGAGCCACACUAGACCUAACCGCUCACCCCUGUCGGUCAGGGUGAGCACCAUCAAGGCUGUAACGAGCCGCCGGCUGGUUUCUUCCACCUCACACACAAAGUGUUCGACAAAAUUCCCUCAAGGUAAAAUUCCUACAAACCUUGAGUUUUUUUAUCGGGCAUGAAGAUGUAGUUUGACAGUGAUUGCCAUCUUGUAGAUGGGCUUGUGCGAGUCCUCUUUUGGGGACGAUUCCUCAUUGGAUGAGGAAUUCAAUUUGACCAAAGAAGAGGACAUUGUUGUGCUAGUAGCGACACAGAAGAGGAAGAAGCCAAAGCACAGUGGUUCCAUGUUUGUCUGUGAAUACAUCUGGAGAGAACGGGUUGAGUCACACGAUAUAUUGAUGUACAACUAUUGGUACUCCACUAGUUUUCCUAGCGAGUUACUUUCAUCGCAGUUUCAAGAUGUCCAAUUAUUCUUCAUUCACAUUUGCAAUUCCGUGAAGCAACAUGACUGAGCCUUCGAGUAGAGGAAGAAUUGUGUCGGUUGGCUUGGACAUAACAAUGUGCAAAAGGCCACUAUCGCUUUGCACAUAUGAUGAGCUACUAGUGGCUGGGACGCGCCCUGGUGCGUCUCUUGAGGCAGGACUGUGUGCACUAAUCAUGCCACCAUAUUUUUUAACAUACAUGUGCAUAGUUUGGUGAAAAUACUUCAACAAACAGGUAUAAAUCGCCUCCUCUUGUAGGUGAAUACUCAUAAGAAAUAUAAACAGGUACUCUCCACAAGCAUAACCCCAUUAUUCUGUAAAAUAUAUAAUCAAAGGUAUAGAUGAACUAAAAUAUUCAAAUGGACAAUGAAUUGAUCUGGGAGCAGCUGUUGAAGGAAAAUAUGCCCUAGAGGAAAUAAUAAAGUUGUUAUUCUAUAUUUCCUUAUUCAUGAUAAAGGUUUAUUAUUCAUGCUAGAAUUGUAUUGAUUGGAAACCUUAAUACAUGUGUGAAUACAUCAACAAACAUCGUGUCCCUAGUGAGCCUCUACUAGACUAGCUCGUUGAUCAAAGAUGGUUGAGGUUUCCUAACAAUUGACAGGAGUUGUCAUUUGAUAAAGGGAUCACAUCAUUAGAAGAAUGACGUGAUGGACAAGACCCAUCCGUUAGCUUAGCAUUAUGACCGUUCAAUUUGAUUGGUAUUGAUUUCUUCAUGUCAAAUACAUAUUCCUUCAACUAUGAGAUUAUGCAACUCCCGGAUACCGGAGGAAUGCUUGUGUGCUAUCAAACGUCACAACAUAACUGGGUGAUUAUAAAGAUGAUCUACAGGUAUCUCCGAAGGUGUUUGUUGAGUUGGCAUAGAUCAAGAUUAGGAUUUGUCACUGCAAGUAUCAGAGAGGUAUCUCUGGGCCCUCUUGAUAAUACACAUCAUAAGCUUGCAAGCAAAUGACUAAGGAGUUAGUCAUGAGGUGAUGUAUUACAGAACGAGUAAAGAAACUUGCCGAUAACGAGAUUGAACUAGGUAUGAAGAUACUAAUGAUCAAAUCUCGGGCAAGUAACAUACCGAUAGACAAAGGGAAUAACAUAUGUUGUCAUAAUGGGUUGACCAAUAAAGAUCUUUGUAGAAUAUGUAGGAGCCAAUAUGAGCAGCGGUAUGACCCGGCCGGAAGUAAGACCCGGCCAGACUUGGCGACUCACUAAGUGACCCACCCGGAUCUCUCCACUCACUGAUGACUCGGCUGGGCCUGGUGACUCAUUGGUGACCCGGCAGGCAGGUCAGAGGAAUAACAAGGCCGAAGUCCUAGUAGGCGGCUUAUGAGAAGACCAGCUCAAGGUGCAUGUCUGGUGGGCCGGCUUAAGAGGAAAGCAUAAGGAAUAUUCCCUUACAAAGGAAGCAAGACUAGGACCCCACUUGUAAUAGAGUAAUCCUAAUCCUACUAGGACUAGUCAUGUAAUCCUCCCCUUCAACUUAUAUAAGGAGGGGCAGGGAACCACAAGAGGGACAAGUUUCACAAGUUGAGACAGACAAGUCAAUAGCUCUCAAGAUAAAGGUAGCAAAAGAGCACCCUUGUAAUCGUGAGCAUCAUCAUCAUAAAUAUCAAUGAAGCGGGAUGUCGGCUAUUACCUCCACCGUGAGGGGCCGAACCUGGGUAAAAACCUCGCGUCUCUCGUCUCACUCAACCCCUCUCAAGGUACCGCAUAGAUGCAUUGGCCUCACGACUAAGUCCUCACACUAAGGACAUCUGCCAUGACAAAUCAACGACAGUGACCGAAUGUUGUUCGGAGUCCUGUAUGAGAUCAAGGUGAUGAUGAGGAGUCUCGAAAAGGUCGAGUGGUAAAGAUUGAUAUAUAGGACGAUAGUAUUCAGACACCGGAAGUGUUUCGGAGGGUACCGGGUACAUAUCGGGUCACUGGAAGGGGUUCCAGGCACCCCUGGCAAAAGAUAUGGGCCUUAUGGGCCAAGAGGGGGAACACACCAGCUACCAGGGGCUGGUGCACCCCCCAUAUGGGCCGGACCAGGGGGAGAAGGAAAGAAGGGAAGAGAAAGUAAAGGCGGGAUUCGGCCUCCUCCUUCCCUUUCUCCCCCUCCUCUUUCCUUCCCCUCCGGCAUAUAUGGCAGGGGGGCGCGCGACUUGGGAGGAGCCCAAGUAGGAUCCGGUCCUACUUGGAGCGCCUCCUGGCCUCUCCCCUCCCCCUCCCACCUAAAUAUAUGUGGGGGGCGCCCCUAGCACACACCAGACAAUUGCCUAGCCGUGUGCGGCGCCCCUCCACCAUUUAGUCCACCAGUCAAAUUUUCGUAGUGCUCACGCGAAGCCCUAUGGAGAUCACUUCACCAUCACCGUCACGACGCCGUCAUGUUGACGGAACUCAUCUACUACCUCAACGUCUUGCUGGAUCAAGAAGGCGAGGGACGUCGCCGAGCUAAAUGUGUGCAGAACUCGGAGGUGCCGUAUGUUCGGUACUCGAUCGGUGGAUCCCGAAGAAAGUUGGACUACAUCAACUGCGUUGUGAAACGCUUCCUCUUACGGUCUAUGAGGGUACGUAAACACACUCUCCCCCUCAUUUCUAUGUAGAUCCAUGGAUAGAUCAUUGCGUGUGCGUAUAAUUUUUUUUGUUUUCCAUGCAACAAUUCCCAACAAUGGCAUCAUGAGCCAUGUCUAUGCGUAGAUGAUAUGCACGAGUAGAACGCAAAGAGUUGUGUGCAGUGAUAGCCAUACUGCUUACCACCAACGUCUUAUUUUGAUUCAACAGUAUUGUAAGAUGAAGCGGCCCGGACCAACGAGUUAUGGCAAUACUCCCGAACUCCCGCCCCAGUACUGGGUGGCGUCGAGGUUAUCUCACCAACAACUGCAUAAAAGAGAUUUUCGAUGUCGGCGAAAAACUCAGGUAUUCCAGAAUUGCAACGAUAAAAUUGUGACGACAACACCUCGGAGCUCAAGUCCCCGGGACACUGCCACAACCCCUAAAUGUCAGGAGGCACCAAGAACAAUGUUCUCAUCACAAAACCAUCGGAACGAUUCCAAGAUACCUGCGUGAUCCUAAAAAAAAUAGUGAAAUUUGAGAAGAGAAGAGUCAAAACUCUACGUCAGGAUGCCUCACCAGAGCGACGAAGGGACUGAGGAGUAAAAAGAAUCCUACUCUUUGAUAUAAAUAAUCCUAAAAUACUCAAAACUUUUUUUCUAGACUCAACAACACCAACGAUUCGAUCAAGCAGGGGCUCCUAAAGUCGGGGAAGGCUCUGAUUACCAACUUGUAACGCCCUCGAUGCGGCUAUAUCUCCCACGUGUCGAAGCACGACUUAGAGGCAUAACCGCAUUGAAAGCAAUGUCGCAAGUGAGGUAAUCUUCACACAACCCAUGUAAUACAUAAGGGAAAGAGAUACAUAGUUGGCUUACAAUCGCCACUUCACACAAUACAUGAAUAAAGCAUUACAUCAACAGUUACAAUCAAGGUCCGACUACGGAACCAAAAUAAAGAAGACUACCCCAAAUGCUACAGAUCCCCGAUCGUCCCAACUAGGCUCCACUACUGAUCAACUGGAAACGGAACAACAUAGCGAACACAAUCUUCAUCGAGUUCCUCCUUGAGCUUGGUUGCGUCACCUGCACGGUUCAACGGCACCUGCAAGCUGGUUUUGGAAGUAUCUGUGAGUCACGGGGACUCACCAAUCUCACACCCUCGCGAUCAAGACUAUUUAAGCUUAUAGGAAGGUAAAGGUAUGAGGUGGAGCUGCAGCAAGCGACUAGCAUAUAUGGUGGCUAACAUAGCAAAUGAGAGCGAGAAGAGAGAGCAAAGGCACGGUCGAACAACUAUGAUCAAAAAGUGAUCCUAGAACAACCUACGUCAGGCAUAACUCCAACACCGUGUUCACUUCCCGGACUCCGCCGAGAAGAGACCAUCACGGUUACACACGCGGUUGAUGCAUUUUAAUUAAGAUCAACUUCAGGUUUUCUACAACCGGACAUUAAAAAAUUACCAUCUGCCCAUAACCGCGGGCACGGCUUUCGAAAGUUCAAAUCCCUGCAGGGGUGUCCCAACUUAGCCCAUCACAAGCUCUCACGGUCAACGAAGGAUAUUACUUCUCCCAAGACAAUCCGAUCAGACUCGGCAUCCUAGUUACAAGAAAUCCUCGACAAUGGUAAAACAAGUCCAGCAACACCGCCUGAAUGUGCCGACAAAUCCCGAUAGGAGCUGAACAUAUCUCGUUCUCAGGGCACACUCAGAUGAGACUAGCUACGAGUAAAACCAACCCUCAAGUUUCCCUGAGGUGGCCCCGCAGGCAGCUCAGUUUGGACCAACACUCAAAGGAGCACUGGCCCAGGAGGGUUUAAAUAAAGAUGACCCUUGAGUCUGCAGAACCCAAGGGAAAGAAAAGGCUAGUUGGCGAAUGGGAAAACCAAAGUUGGGCAUUGGUGGAGGAGUUUUAUUCAAGGCGAACUGUCAAAGGGUUCCCAUUAUAACCCAACCGCGUAAGGAACGCAAAAUCCGGGAACAUAACACCGAUAUGACGGAAACUAGGGCGGCAAGAGUGGAACAAAACACCAGGCAUAAGGUCGAGCCUUCCACCCUUUACCAAGUAUAUAGAUGCAUUAAUAUAAAUAAGAGAUAUUGUGAUAUCCCAACAAAAUAUCCAUGUUCCAACAAGGAACAAACUCCAAUCUUCACCUGGAUCUAACAACGCUAUAAGAGGGGCUGAGCAAAGCGGUAACAUAGCCAAACAACGGUUUGCUAGGACAAGGUGGGUUAGAGGCUUCGCUUAACAAUAUGGGAGGCAUGAUAAGCAAGUGGUAGGUAUCACAGAAUAGGCAUAGCAAAAGAGCGAGCAUCUAGCAAGCAGAGAUAGAAGUGAUUUCGAGGGUAUGGUCAUCUUGCCUGAAAUCCCGCAAGGAAGAAGAACAAGUCCAUGAAGAAGACAAACGGACGUAGUCUAACGGAUCCUCACAAAUGCGACGUUAUCGGAACUAACCCGAAGAAUCAACACCGGAAAGAAUCAAACAACAUAGUAAACAACCAACACAUGAAUAUGGCAAGAUGCACAACCAAGUAUGAUGCAUAUCCGGUUUAAAUAUGCAUGGCAUGGCAUGGCAAGAGCACGAACAAAACUACAAGUUAAGUGGAGCUCAAUAUGCAUCGGGAUGCAUAUUGACAAAACACCACAUCAAUUAUUUAGUUCUCUCCCGUUUAAGUACUCAACGAUAUUAAAUGUUGGUUAACAUGGCAAGAGGUGAAGCAUAACAAAACUAUACCAUUUAAAUAGUUUAAAUGGGGCCGGAUAUAACAAACAACAAAUCCGGUAAAUCCCCAUAUGCAUUAGUAAUUUAUUGCAACAACAAUUUAAACAUUUUAAUUGUUGUUAUCAUGGUGUGGAUGGCAUGAACAAGUUUAUGCAAUUUUUAUUAAAAGUUGACAAGAGCAUUAUGAAGCAUUUUUCAUUGUGGCGGAAAGGAAGGGGUGCCACGGCAACGAUACCGAAAACGGUGCCACGGCAACAUCCCGGUUCCGGUAACUCGAUUGAGAUACUGAUGCAAAGGAGAAGUGUGCGGAUGCGUGCAAAAGAUGGUGGGGCACUCCCGGGUACCGGGUGUCCCAUGAGUCGACGAUGGUGACAAGGCAAAAGAGGGGCAACGUGCACCGACAAUUCGAUCACGGAGCAAGCACGAGCAUCUCAUACAUCACACAUGCAUUCAUUCACGGGCGGUCGUCUCGGGGUUAUACCUUCGAAGCGUGCGUUUCAGGCGGAACAAAUUCAUUGAGGAAGUAGUCGUUCACGGGUCAUCGAGGGAAGUAGUGGUACUAUCGGUCAUCGGUGAUCAACGGGACGGUAGUGAAGGUAGAGGUACAAGACAUCUUGUCGAAAAUCACGGCGGCGGUAGUUGUACCCAUGUUGUCGUCGAACUUGACACUAUUAGGGAAAACCUUAUACACAAAAUCUUAGCAGCAGCGCGGCAUAAAAACAGGCGCUGCUGCUAAGUAGUAGCAGCGCGGCUACGGAAAGCUCGCUACUAGUGCAAACUUAGCAGUAGCGCGUGACUCUUAAACCGUGCUGCUACAAAAAUCCACCGACAGUUCACAACGACAUAAGUUUACCAGUAGCGCGGCGCCAGGGAGUGCGCUGCUGCUAAUGCCAUAGUAGCAGCGCGCUUUUUUGUCACCUCGCUGCUGCUAAUUUUGAAAUUGUGCACAGGGUUGGCCCGUUUAGCAGUAGCGCGUGACAGGAAAGUGCGUUGUUACUAUGCUCUUAGCAGCAGCGCGCUUUCUCUCCCGCGCUACUGCUAAGACGCAGCACCCACCACCUUUUCCACCUCCCCUCCCCAUCUCCUCUCCUCCCUUUCCCCUACCUCCCACAUCCUCCCUCUCUCACUCUUCUUCUUCCUCAAUACUUCUCCCCCCAUUACUCUCCCUCUUCUACCUACCUUUCUCUCUCUUCAUUACUCCUAGCUAUAACUACACCACCUCCAUUAAUUCAUCUCCUUUCUCUUUUUCCUCCCCCCUCCACUAGUUGAAGUUGUCUCCUCCCAAAUUAUCUAGCUAGGUAGAUGUAGCAUUUAGUUAAGGGACCUAUUUGCCCCCUAACUAGAUCUUUCUUUGUCAAGAAGAGCUUUGUGCACUUUUGACCUCCCUACAUCAUCAUCUCCACCGUGUGCUUGAUCUCGAGAUAGAGGUGUGAUUAAUAUUUCAUGCUUUUGCAAAAUGAAAAUAUAUGUUCCUAUUUUGUAUACACACUUAAUUAGCCAUUAUUAUGCAUGGGUCCAAUGAUGUAAUAUAUAUAUAUGUUCCUAUUUUGUAUACACACUUAGCCAUUAUUAUGCAAGGGUCCAAUGAUGUAAUAUAUAUGUUCCUAUUAUGCUGAGGAAAAGAAAAAAGGGAAACUGGUUAUAGUAGUAGCGCUUUAGUGAAAAAGAGCUACAGCUAGUCAAGGUAGCAGUAGCGGUUUCUGCAGAAAAUCGCUAUAGCUGCUCGUAAUAGUAGUAGCGCGUUUCGUGUAAAUGCGCUACUGCUACAUCCACUUAACCCAAAAUUAUCCCUCUCCCUGCUUCAUCCUGCCUCUUUUCCCCCAAAUCCCCACUCUCUCUUCCCCGGCCCNNNNNNNNNNNNNNNNNNNNNNNNNNNNNNNNNNNNNNNNNNNNNNNNNNNNNNNNNNNNNNNNNNNNNNNNNNNNNNNNNNNNNNNNNNNNNNNNNNNNNNNNNNNNNNNNNNNNNNNNNNNNNNNNNNNNNNNNNNNNNNNNNNNNNNNNNNNNNNNNNNNNNNNNNNNNNNNNNNNNNNNNNNNNNNNNNNNNNNNNNNNNNNNNNNNNNNNNNNNNNNNNNNNNNNNNNNNNNNNNNNNNNNNNNNNNNNNNNNNNNNNNNNNNNNNNNNNNNNNNNNNNNNNNNNNNNNNNNNNNNNNNNNNNNNNNNNNNNNNNNNNNNNNNNNNNNNNNNNNNNNNNNNNNNNNNNNNNNNNNNNNNNNNNNNNNNNNNNNNNNNNNNNNNNNNNNNNNNNNNNNNNNNNNNNNNNNNNNNNNNNNNNNNNNNNNNNNNNNNUUUACUUAGGUUUUAGUUAUGUUAAUUAGGUUAUCUAUUUAGUUAUGAAUUUAGAUAGGUUUCAAAAUUUACUGAAUUUAUAUGCAAAUUUGAACUGGACAUGUGAUAUGUGGAUAUGUCAUGUUUUGGACAUGUCAUGUUUUGGUAAAUGAUCCGAGUUGCCUAUGUUACGCCGGAACGUUGAUUCAUUUCCGUUCCGGUGAAUUUCAGGUGCUCGAUAUGUCCAUUUUUUAGCAAAGGUCAUGCCAAAAUUUCCCGUGAAUAAAGGCAUGAUUUGUGCUACAUAGUUGGCAUAUCGAGUGCUGGCACAUAGAUUUCUUUUUUAUCUCAUUUCUCAUUUAUUCAUACUUUUAGAAAUAAAUGAGGACACUUAAUCAUAGGAAACAUGUCGAACAACGAAGAAACUGGGCCUUCUGACCAAGAUGCAGAUGAGAUGGAUUAUGAAGGUGAACAAGACUACCUCGACUUUUUGACUACUAAGCAAGGUUUGCAGGUCCGCCUCGAUGAUGGUACUGACGCCGACACCGACACCGACGACAACGACAUCCUCUUCAUGAACAUGCAUCUCUAACAGGUACCUAGUUUCUUGAUGGCGAGAUGGAACUGCUAUGUCGUGUACAAAGGGAAGGUUCCGGGGGUGUACAGCGAGUGGCAUGAGUGUCAGGCGCAAGUGAAUGGGUUCUCGGACGCCAGCCAUAACGGCUUCAAAAGCAAACAAGAAGGAGAAGCUAGUUACUUGCGGUUCACGCUAGCGCGAGAGAGGACUCGUAACCGCCAUCUCAUGUACUGCAUAGUUCCGCUCUCACUCAUAGUGAUAGCUCUUCUCGCGUAUACCUUUGUUUAGAUGGAUGACGUUGUAGUUGCAAGUAUUCGAGACUUGCAUGUAUUGCUAUUUUCGAGAUGAUGACAAGAUACCACUUUGUGUUGGAUGAUGAUUAUGACGAGACUAUUUGUAUGUAUAUGCUAUGAUUACAUUUGUGGUCUCGCAGGCAUUUGUAUGUGUAUCAUGAUGACAUUUGUAUGUGAUAAAGAUUCUUCUAUAAAGCCUGUUCAAAUACAAAACAAAUAUGCCGAAAAAAAAACUACUAAAAUUAGCAGUAGCGAGUGGAGAAAAGUUAGCAGCAGCGCGGUUGUAGCAGUAGCGUGCACAGGGGAAGCGCGCUAUAGCUAUUAGCAGCAGCGAGGUUCCUUUAAGUGCGCUGCUGCAACACUUGUGUAGCAGUAACGCGGGUGGACCAGCGCUACUGCUAUAUGUUAGCUGUAGCGCCUUAUUAGUAGCGCCGGCCCCCACGCUACUAAAAGGCCGAAAACCCGCGCUACUGCUAGGCUUUUCCCUAGUAGUGUGAUGGAACCAAUGUCCUCGAGGGUAGUCGUGGGAAGUAGUCGUACUCGCGAACUUGUCGGAUCCACGGCGACGGUAGUUGUUCACGGCGCUUGUGACUCGCGGUUCUUCGGGCAACGGUAGUCGUACGUGUCCAUAGAUGUUCGGGGUCGCGACAUGGAACUUGACGUCCACGGGGUCUUCGAGGGUCGACGGUAGUGGUACUCGGGUCGUCGGCGACGGUAGUUGUUCUAUGAAUCAGGCAUCAAGGUACUUGUCAUUCUUAGCGAUUCUGAAGACGGCGGUAGUGGUACACUUUCGAAAAGGGACUUGACGCAUCAAAGGUCUUCGGUGCCACGGUACUUGUCGGUCCGGGUCUUGACGUAUCCAAAAUGGUCGUCGGUGGUAGAACUUGGCGCUGUUGCGGUGGACGUUCGGGCACCAUACGUCGUGGUACUUGGUAAAUCCUGGAGACGGUAGUUGACGAUCCAGGUAGGCGGUCUUGACGAAUCCAAGUAGCACCAGGCACACGUCCACGGUCAGUCUUUGGACUUGUUUGUUUCCUGUACAUGACUGCAGGGGGUCCUGGGGGGAACUCGGCGAUGGCCAUGGCAAAGAGGCGACGGUAGUGGAGAAGCAGGGAGCAGCAGCUCGAGUCGCGGCAGCAGCAACUGUCACGGGCGGAGGUCGGGGCCAGAGCAGAGCAAGCUCCCGCGGGCAGCCAAGAGGCCGUCCCUCGCGAGGUGGCGCAGGACUGCGAUGGUGGUGGUGCGCUCCGGCGAGACGGGGACGCAGGGAAGGGGUAGAGCACGGCAGGGCAGGUCGGGUCGACAACUCCGAUGGCCGGCCGGCGAGGCCAUGGUUUUGGCGCAGAGGGGAUGCGCAGCUAGACUUGUGGGGGUGCGGCGUCGCAGCAGCUCACCCGGGAGGACGAAGAAGGAGCGGAGGAGAGGACUGCGCGGGGCUGCAAGAUCCGGCGUGGACGAGCACUGGUCGGACAGAGAGGGGGUGCUGGGAGGACGGUGAUGCCAUGGCCGCGACGUGGUCCUGUUCGUCGGUGCAUGGAGGAGCAACGGCGAGGCAGAGGGGCUCCUCUGAGUGGUGAUCGAUGGAGAUGGGGGAAGAAGACGGUCGGCGCGCCCUCUCCUGCGUGUGGUGACGCGCGAGGGAGGAGAAGGGAUCGAGCACGGGGCUCUCAUGGCGUGAGGAGUGAGUGGCGGCGUGAGGGAAAGGAGAUGAGGAUCGAGAGGGAGAGAACGAGAGGGAGAGAAGUGGGAUCGGGCAGAGAAGGGGUCGAGCGCGUGGCCUCCUCUCCUGGCGACGCGGGGGAGGGAUCGAGAGGGAGAGAAGUGCGGUGCAGGAGCUGGGCUUCGGGCCAUCUAGGUCAGGCCGCAAGGUAUAGUUAGGUGGGCCUUAGGGGCUGGUUGGACUGCGGGGAAAAGAUGGGCCUGGAUUCUCUUCUCCCUAUCCCUCUUUAAAACUUAAACCUUUAACAUAAAAGAAAUUAGAGAGAGGAAAAGAAAGAGAGGGUUAGGGAAGGAUUUUGAGCAUGGGGAUAAUUUCCCCGGACUUGCAAAAAUGAGCUUGAUCCCGCAAAAUAGAAGUGGGCACGCGGUUGAAGUUGAAUUCAAACUCAUUUGAAAUUAAUUCCAAAUGAUUUGAAUAGGAAGUGAGGUUUAGGAAGGUGCAAAAAUGUUGAGACUUUUGGAGGAGCCUAAAAAAAGGAAGAAAGAAUUUUCGGCAAAGUUUGGAGAUCAACUCGAAGCAUAAAGGCAUGGGAUUAUCUGCACGUGUGUUAUGGGUCAAUCCAAAUUAUUGGAAUAUAAUUUAUAUAGCUCCCUAAAAUAUUGGGAGAAUAUGUUUUAAAGAGUAAUCACCGUAGUGAAUAUCCCUCGAUUUAAAUGGACCGAAGAUCCAUGCAAUAUAUUUAGUUGAGUUGCAAAAGAUUUAUGAGAUGAUGGCAUGAUAACAUGGCAAGAUGCAACACGCAAGCGAAUGACAUGGCAACGACGGCGAAUAACUGGAAGACACCUGGCGCAACGGUCUUGGGGCGUUACAUGUGCCCACCAGGGUCACCUUCCCGGUAGUUUCUUAUUUUCCAAUUUUUUUUAUUUUCCAAAAUGGACAGAAAAUAUUUUUGCAGAGUCCGUUUACUGACCGUAUCACAUACCUCCUCUUUUUCAUGAUUUUGGAGUGUUUUGGAAGGUCUCUUUUAUGUGUUCUUCACGUGUCAUAGUUUGGAUAAUAUUACUUUCAACAUUAAUGGGCGUACGUGAGAUAUAAUGUUUUAUUCUUUGCCCAUUAACAACCUUCAGGUUAGUACCUUCGGCAUUAUUUAUUUUGAUAGCUCUAGACCGAUAAACCUCCUCGAUAACAUAGGGUCCUUCCCAUUUGGAGAGGAGUUUUUCCUGCAAAGAAUCUAAAACGAGAUUUGUACAAAACAAAAUAGUCUCCAACUUUGAACUCAUGCUUUUGGAUUCUUUUAUCAUGCCAUAUUUUAAUUUUUUCUUUAAAUAACUUGGCAUUUUCAUAAGCUUGGGUUCUCCAUUCAUCUAAUGAGCUAAUAUAACCUCUUUUCACCGGCAAUUUUAAAAUCAUAGUUGAGUUAUUUGAUUGCCCAAUAAGCUUUAUGUUCUAACUCAAGAGGCAAAUGAAAAGCUUUUCCAUAAACCAUUUUAUAAGGAGACAUACCCAUAGGAUUUUUAUAUGCUGUUCUAUAAGCCCAAAGUGCAUCAUCUAAUUUCUUAGACCAAUUCUUCCGGGACCUAUUGACAGUAUUUUGCUAAAUUAAUUUUAUUUCUCUAUUGCUAAUUUCAACUUGCCACUAGACUGAGGAUGACAAGGUGAUGCAAUUCUCUCGUUAACAUCAUACUUGGCAAGCAUUUUACGGAAAGCACCAUGAAUAAAGUGUGAACUGAUACAUCUCCAAUGUAUCUUUAAUUUUUGAUUGUUCCAUGCUGUUAUAUUAUCACUCUUGGAUGUUUUAUAAUCAUUUUAUAGUCAUUUUAUAUCAUUUUUGGGACUAAUCUAUUGACCUAGUGCCAAGUGCUAGUUGUUGUUUUUGCAUGUUUUUUACAUCGCGGGAAAUCAAUAUCAAACGGUGUCCAAACACCUCGAAACUUUUUGUGGAAUUUUUGUAGACCAGAAGACCACCAAUGGGCCAGAGCAGCACAUGGGGGGUGCCCCGAGGGGGGCACAACCCACCCGGAUGCGCUUGGGGGCCUAGGCAUGCCUAGGUGGGUUGUGCCCACCUCGAUGGCCUCCCGCACCCUCUUUACCCUAUAAAUUCAUAAAUAUUCCAAAAACCCUCGGGGUUAACAUAGAUCAGAACUUCUGCCGCCGCAAGGCUUUGUAGCCACCAAAAAACAAUCUAGACCCGUUCCGGCACCCUGCCAGAGGGGGGAAUCAUCUCCGGUGGCCAUCUUCAUCAUCUCGGCGGCCACCACGAUGAGGAGGGAGUAGUCCACCCUCGAGGCUGAGUUUUUGUACCGGUAACUAUGUGUUUAAUCUCUCUCUCUCUCUCGUGUUCUUGAGAUGUCAUGAUCUUGAUGUAUCGCGGGCUUUGUUAAUAUAGUCUGAUCAUAUGGUGUUUUCCCCUCUCUACCUUGUGAUGAAUUGAGUUUUCCCUUUGAGAUUUUGUUUUAUCGGAUUGAAUACUUUUAUGGAUUUGAGAGCACUUGAUAUAUGUCUUGCAAAUGAAUACUUGUGGUGACAAUGGGGUAUUAUUUUGAUUCACUUGAUAUAUGUUUUGGCACUCAAGUCGCGGAUUCGUGAGGUGACAUUGGGGUAAUCUAUGCAUAGGGGUUGAUGCACGUUCUUGUCUUUGUUUCUCCGGUAGAAAUCUUGAGGCACUCUUUGAAGUUCUUUGUGUUGGAUUGAGUAUUAUGAAUCUGAAAUUAUUUGGUGUUAUUUUAGUACGAACUCUUGGAUAGAUCGAUCGGAAAGAAUAGCUUCGAGGUGGUUUCGUACCCUACAAACAAUUUCUUCUUAUGUUCUCCGCUAGAUAGGAACUUUGGAGUGAUUCUUCAUCGCACUUUGAGGGGUGGCUAUAUGAUCCAAUUAUAUUAGCAUCGUUGAGAGAUUGCACUAGCGAAAGUACGGACCCUAGGCCUCGUUUUCAAGCAUUGCAAUACCAUUUGUGUGCCUGUUUACUAUUUUCUACCUUGCUGUUUUUAUUUAUUGAGAUUAUAAAAAUAUAUUUCUACCAUCAAUAUUACACUUUAUCACCAUCUCUCGCCAAACGAGUUCACCUAUACAAAUUGCCAUUGUAUUGGGUGUGUUGGGGACACAAGAGAUUUCUUGUAUUUGAUUGCAGGAUCAUUUGAGAGAGACCAUAUUCAUCCUACACCUCCCAUGGAUUGAUAAACCUUAGGUCAUUCACUUGAGGGAAAAUUGAUAUUGUCCUACAAAACUCUUUGCUUGGAGGCCCAACACGUGUCUACAUGAAUAAAGUUGCGUGGUAGACAUCAAGCUCUUUUCUGGCGUCGUUGCCGGGGAGGUGAGUGCAUGAAGGUAUAUCUUUAGGUCUUGCAAUUGGAUCUUUUAGUUUCUUGUUUUAUCACUAGUUGGGUAGAUAAAAGAAAACUACAUAAAAAUGGAAUUGAGGUUGCAUCAUAUUAUUGAUGUAACAUCCCAAUUUUCAAUUUGGAUGUUAUACAUAGAUCAUCAUAUGCAUAUCAUAUUUUAUUUGCAUUUUUUGUUGUGAUCCUAGAAAUCUUAAGCAACUCAAGGACACAAGGAGAGAGUUGAAGGUUUCACUAAAUUUUCAUAUUUGAAUUUAUUUCAAAUUUGAAGAAAGGAUCAAUUUGAUUUUAAUACUCUCACUCCUAUUAUUUCCAAUAACAAAAAUAAAUGAGAGAAGAUAAAAUGACUUCUUCAAACAGAAAAGAAAUAUUGGAGAAGAAUUUUAAAAUCAAAUUAUUAUUUUUAUUUGUAAUUUUAUUUACUAUUUUAUUUGAAUUAGAGAAAAAUAUGCAUUUUUUAAAAUUGCAUUUUUAGUCCAGAAAAAUGUUCAUCUUGUCCUAAACACUAGGUUUGGACGGUGAAAAUUGUUUCUAGUAUUUUUUAGAUUUUUUUUAUAUUUUAUAAGGAUUUUUCUUCCGUGGCGAAAUUUAUUUAUUUUAAAAAAAGGUUCCUGGGCCGGCCCAGCUCACACGCCGCCUCCUUCCCCACUCGGGAGGAGUCCUCGCCGCCGCCUGGGGAGUCCAGCUCGGACUCCCGUUCCGCCGCCCCCUCGCCCAAGCCACCGCCCCGCCCUGGGCUUUAUAAGCCAGAGCUGCCCCGCCUCCCUCUCCCCUCAUCAAGUCGCCGCCUUAACCUCGCUGCUGCACCGCUCUCGCCGCCGUCGCUGCCGCCGCUGCACGCCGCCGGAGCCGCCCCGCCUCACUGCCGACGCCCGCUGCCGAACCCCGCCGGAUCCCGCCGCUAUCGCAACCACCGCCGGCGGCUUUCUACGGUUAAAACGGUAUAACCCGUUUGGUUUUUUGGUUUAUUUUUUUAGAUCGGUUUUUGUUUUAGUUUGUUAGUUGAUGAACGUUCGCCCGUUAGUUUCCAAUAGUGAAUGGUUUUUGUUCGUUAGUCUCUGUUAGCGGACGUUCGUCUGAUAGAUUUUUCUUUUUCUUUUUAUUUUCGGCCAGGGACCUAUCUAUGCAUACUUUUCUUACAGAUUAGUCCCUGAUCUCUAAACCCUCGUUACUUUUUGUUUGUUUAUCCAAAUCCAGUGAAUCUUCAUCUCGAUCCCCUCUAUCCAGAUAAUCAACUUGAACAUGGUUUUGACAAUUUAAAAUUUGGUUUCAAGUAGAUUAGAUUUCGAACUUCUUUUGAUCGUAGUUUGAGUUUCGUAACUCCGAUUCGAUUAAUUCUUUUUGCAAAUCGAAGCUCUUCUCUUGAACUUUCUAUUCAGAUCUUUUCUCUUGGUUUUACCUUUGCAUCUUAUGCUUGAGUGCUUAUGUAUGCUAUUGUUUGUUCAUGAUAGAGUUCCUGGAGUGCGAGGCUUGCUACUACGAAUCUCUAGGGUUUUCUGACCGUCGACAAGGCAAGUAACACUUUGAUCAUAUCCCUUAAUUACCCAGUUUUUAUGCAUUGGUUCGAACCCUCAAGCAUUGCAUGAGUAGGACUCGUUUAACAUAUGGGUGUUGGGAAGUAGUUGAUGCGGUAGCGCCUAUUGUCUUAUAUCAAACCCUGGGAGUUACUACGUUAUGCUUACACUACUAUGCUAUGCUCGUAGAUAUGGUUUGGGUUUGAGAGUAUUCAUGAAAGUUGUGAGAGUUAACGUUAACUAAGGUUUAACUUAAGGUGGCUACUUAAUACGCAUCUGGGUGGAUUGGUUUGUGGGCACCUGGGGAAUCCAAUGUUGUCCAAGGAGAUCUCGGGGAAUCCGUGUGAUCAUCCUAUGGUUCGCCACCCAGGCUCAAAGGGAUCAUAAUAUUCUUCAUGACAGAAACUUCCGUGUGCAGCCACAUGCCAUUAUGGGCUCUGGCAUAGUUGAGUAAGUUGUGGGAAUCCUUUCCAUGAUGGGCUAGCAGAUGUAGGGGGUUGUAGGUGUACCGGCCUAUCUAUCGGUUAAGGGGACCUCUUCGGAAAGACUGUGUCUAGGUUAUCCAUUUCUCAAACACCAUGUAGUGCGAGAAAUACAACGAGGAGAUCGAGUCUUGUGGGGAAAAGUGCGCAAACCUCUACAGAGUGUACAAACUAAUCAUGAUUAGUCAUGUCCCCGGUUAUGGACAUCUUGAGUAUCUGGUACUUGAAUUAUUAUGUUGAUCUCAUCACUCUACUUAAUUAAUUUGUUGGGUUGUUAAUUUUUAAUUGGGAUUGAGUUGGGGUUACCAUCUCAAUGUUUCAACAAACUUUGUAGUUAAAUAAAAUAUAUUCCUUUGUUGUAGGAAAAAAACUAGCUUUAUGCAAAUGAUAACCAUAGAGCCUCCACCAACCAUAUAUGCAUGUACUUAUAGCUGUUAGUUGUUCAUUGCUCUAUAGUGUUGUCUUGCCAGCAUAUUCCAUGUGCUGACCUACACAGGCCGCAACGUAUUAUGUUGUAGAAUUUUCAGACGAAGACUAAGGUGCGCUAGGUCGUUGUCAUGCACUCAGUUUUGCCGUGGAGUUUGAUGGACUCUUCUACCUUUGAAGCUUUCGUUGUUAUCUUAUUUAGAUGGCCUUCAGCCAUAUUAUUGUAUUAAGUUCUCUAUUCAGAUAAUCGAUGUAAUAAGUGUGUGAUUGAACUCUGUUACAAAUCCUCGAGUACUAUGUGUGUCAGCAAUACCGAUCCAGGGAUGGCACUUAAGCACAGAGACUUGACCGUCUGAAGUCGGGUCGCUACAAGAUGGUAUCAGAGCACAUGCUUAUUGUAGGAUGCGACCAGUAGGAUAAGCCAUGGGAUACUCUCCUCUAGUCUUUUCUGACUCUUCUCCAUUUUCUACUCUAUAGAUGCCGGACCCAAGGAACAAGUUCACUCAACCAGAUGAGGACACACCUUUUGGACGACACUUGAAGGAAGUCACUAGGUACCUGAGCAUUAGAAUACCAAGCUUCACCGGGACCUACACUGCCACUUUAAUAGAAGAGGAGCAUUGGAUGAUUCGAGUUCAUGUUCCAGGAAGGACGUUCGCACCAGUUACUGAGCCCAUAGAGUUUUCCUUUGAUGCUCCAACCUGGAGUCUAGGAAAGAGCAUGGCCACCCACCUCGCCAUGGGAUGCAUCGGCGAGGACUACAACAAUGAUCUUAAGGACGCAAUCUACCAGAUAUGUGGACACCAAGAUGAGCAAUGGGAGAUUAUUAGCACCAGGAGGGACAAAUCCAUUGCAGCCUACAUCCAGGAGUUAAACCGCACAUUCGUUGUCAGGAGAACUGGGUGUGCGCCAGCAUGAUAGACAUGAAGAAAGUGAUGACCAGGAACAUGGAGCUAGAAGAGGAACUCAAGUCUACACGUGAUGGAUAUGAAGAAGAAAUUGUAGUACUACUGGAGAAGAAUUAAGACCUGAAGAAGAAGCUAGGAAUAUUCAUGGGAGAUCCCAAACCCGAGGAGGACAACCAUCCUGAAGACUACAUCAUAAUCGACGACACCGACUCCGACCCAGACAGUGAUGAUGAUUACGAAGACGAAGCUGGAGCGGAUAUCAUGGAGUCCUCCACCAAUCAAAAUUUUUAGUCGACCACCAUAUUACUAUUAGUAUUCCCCAUGUAUAUAGUAAUAGUCCAAGUAUUUUGUAACGGUAGUUUAGAUCGAUUGUAUGAUCUUGUUUAAAUUGAGUGGUGUGAAAUGAAUGUGUUUGUCUCAUGUGCAUAUGGGUAGUGAUCUCUCUUUAGACCUCACUUUAUUCUAUUCUCACCCACUAAACCUAUCAAAUGCCUCCGAGACUUGACCCUGGAUUUGUCUUCCCACCGGAGCUCACUCGGUUGAUCCAAUAGCAGAAUGCCUUGAUGUAGUUGCCGCUACCUCUUGAGCAUUGCGUUGGUUUUCCCUUGAAGAGGAAAGAGUGAUGCAGCAAAGUAGCGUAAGUAUUUCCCUCAGUUUUGAGAAGCAAGGUAUCAAUCCAGUAGGAGGCCACGCACGAGUCCCUCGCACCUACACAAACAAAUAAAAUCCUCGCAACCAACGCAAUAAAGGGGUUGUCAAUCCCUUCAUGGUCACUUACGAAAGUGAGAUCUGAUAGAUAUGAUAAGAUAAUAUUUUUGAUAUUUUUAUGAUAAAGAUGCAAAGUAAAGAAAGCAAAAUAAACGGAAAAGGAAAUAGCUUGUUGACGGAAUAUUAAUAUGAUGGAAAAUAGACCCAGGGGCCAUAGGUUUCACUAGUGGCUUUUCUUGAGAGCAUAAGUAUUAUGGUGGGUAAACAAAUUACUAUUGAGCAAUUGACAGAAUUGAGCAUAGUUAUGGGAAUAUCUAGGUAUGAUCAUGUAUAUAGGCAUCACGUCCGAGACAAGUAGACCGACUCCUGCCUGCAUCUACUACUAUUACUCCACACAUCGACCGCUAUCCAACAUGCAUCUAGAGUAUUAAGUUCAAAAGAACAGAGUAACGCUUUAAGCAAGAUGACAUGACGUAGAGGGGUAAACUCAUGCAAUAUGAUAUAAACCCCAUCUUGUUAUCCUCAAUGGCAACAAUACAAUACGUGCCUUGCUGCCCCUACUGUCACUGGGAAAGGACAUCGCAAGAUUGAACCCAAAGCUAAGCACUUCUCCCAUUGCAAGAAAGAUCAAUCUAGUAGGCCAAACCAAACUAAUAAUUCGAAGAGACUUGCAAAGAUAACCAAUCAUACAUAAAAGAAUUCAGAGAAGAUUCAAAUAUUGUUCAUUGAUAAACUUGAUCAUAAACCCACAAUUCAUUGGUCUCAACAAAUACACCGCAAAAGAAGAUUACAUCGAAUAGAUCUCCACAAGAGAGGGGGAGAACUUUGUAUUGAGAUCCAAAAAGAGAGAAUAAGCCAUCUAGCUAAUAAAUAUGGACCCGAAGGUCUGAAGUAAACUACUCACACUUCAUCAGAGAGGCUAUGGUGUUGAUGUAGAAGCCCUCCAUGAUCGAUGCCCCCUCCGGCGGAGCUCCGGAAAAGGCCAUUUACCAAAAGUGCAAAAGAUAGCAGCAUCACAGACUUAGAGAAAUUACUAACAUGUCAAAAACAACAUCAGGAAGCAAUGUUUAGAGCAAGCAAACAACAUGCUACAGGAACAUAUCAUAGAAAUACAAGGCAUGGCAUGAAACUAAUAAAUGCAUAGAACAAAAGUACCUUACUGAUCAUGAGCCGAAAAGGCACAGAAGAUAUGAUGGCACCCAUGUAAACAUAGAAAGUUUUAUAAACAGUUUCAGACUUGGCAGAAAACAGAGCAUGGCAUAAACAAAAUUAUGAAGGCAUCUUUGCGAGCUGAAAUCACUCACCACAAGGCAUGCAUGACAAGAUAAGCAUAGCAUCAGCAAGAUGACAUGUUCAUGAACCUAACCAUGGCAAUAGCGAGUUCAUAGCAUGCAUGGAUCACUAGCAACAACCAUGGAAAAAUUGAUUAACAUGCAAACAAUCUACCAGGAACAUUUUAUAGCAAAAGUAGAGCAAGAUUAAGACAUGAUAGGGCACUCCAUAAUUGCAAACAGGGCCAUGGAUGGAUAGAGCAUAACCAUAUGUCAAAAACAUCCUUACUGAAGGUACUCAAAACAAUCAUGGAUAUCACUGUAGCAUCAUAUUUACAUGGUACAAAAAUAAUAGGAGGAAAAUGACUUAGUAAAAUCCUAAGCCCCUGAAAUCAGCAAUAUCACGAAGGCUAAUUGCAUGCUUGUGCUAGUCACCGCAUAGAUCACAAAAAUACAUGGCAAGCACCCCUGUAAAUAUGGCAUGGCAUAGAUCAAAACACAUGUAGACCUCAUGCCCAUAUGAAACACACAUCAAAUGUGGCAAAAAUGACAAAUCACCCUAAACUCAUAAGAAGCAGCAGUAAACAUUUUAUAGCACUCUUGUAUCAACGAUUAGGGCUUCAAGAUGGACCCAAACAAGCAUGUCACAAUGGAAUGAAAUGAAGAGCAUCUCCCAAUGAACAUUAUGAUAUAUCAUACAUGCAGAACGGAGCUACGAGCAAGAAGUUACGGCACGCUGAACAUGCACACAUGAGAUGAUAUUUCUGAGGACUUAGUGGAAAACUACCAGCGUGAAAACGGGAUCUAGAUCAGGGAAGCUCCAUCUCUGCUAUAGAACAAUGUCGGUGGAAGUCAACGGCGACAGUGGGGCGGCAUGGGACUCCGGCGGGCAUCGGGGAGGCCGAGGAUGGGUGGAUCCGGGCAUGGGCAAUCCAUUCCCGGCGACGAGGCUGCUUGUGGCGGCGCGGACGCGGAGAUCGGGGUGGCCAUGGUGGUCCUGCAAGGUUCUAGAGAGAGAGAGAUUGAAGGCGAGAGGGAGAGAGAGGUAACGCGAGAGAGAGAGAGAGAGCAGAACGGUAGACGGGGCAGGGCGGAGGCGCGCUCACCAGCGCGGCGGCGACGCUCGCCGGCACGGCAGCCAGGCAGCGAGGCGGCGGAGGGACGGUGGCGGCCGGGACGACCGGCAAGGUCCNNNNNNNNNNNNNNNNNNNNNNNNNNNNNNNNNNNNNNNNNNNNNNNNNNNNNNNNNNNNNNNNNNNNNNNNNNNNNNNNNNNNNNNNNNNNNNNNNNNNNNNNNNNNNNNNNNNNNNNNNNNNNNNNNNNNNNNNNNNNNNNNNNNNNNNNNNNNNNNNNNNNNNNNNNNNNNNNNNNNNNNNNNNNNNNNNNNNNNNNNNNNNNNNNNNNNNNNNNNNNNNNNNNNNNNNNNNNNNNNNNNNNNNNNNNNNNNNNNNNNNNNNNNNNNNNNNNNNNNNNNNNNNNNNNNNNNNNNNNNNNNNNNNNNNNNNNNNNNNNNNNNNNNNNNNNNNNNNNNNNNCCGGCGCGGUUGGCGGCGCGCGCGGGCUCAUCUGGGCCCCGAUGGGCUCGGGCGGGCCCCGAUCUGCGCCAGGAGGGCCGCCGACGAGAGGAGAGGAGAGAGAGAGUGAGGUGGCGGCGCCUGGUUGGUCAUGAGCGGCGGCGAAAGUGAUGUGGCACGACGCCAUUGGUCGGAGCGACGUGGAGGGGCGUGGCGGACAUGUUCGGUGGCGGGGUUUUUGUCCGGCGGCGUGAAGAGGAAGUUUGCUAGGGUUUCAUCUGCGCGAAUUUUCGGAGGGGAGCACCUAUUUAUAGGUAGAGGGAGUUUGGAGAAUCCAAAUGAGGUGUAGUUUUCGCCCACACGAUCGUGAUCCGACGAUGGAGGACAUGGAGAUGGUUUAGAUGGGUUAUUGGGCCGUUUUGGAGGGGUGUUGGGCUGCAACACACACGAGGCCUUUGUGGUUACCCGGUUGACCGUUGGAGCAUCAAACGGACUCCAAAUGGCACGAAAUUUGACAGGCGGUCUACUGGUGGUGUACCAAGGAUACAUGGCAAAUCUCGGUCCAUUCCGAGAAAGUUCAACACCCGCUCACGAAAGGAGACAAGAGGGGUACGCCGGUGCAAGUAGGAGUGUCGGAUUGCACAACAGACAACGGGGGAAAUGCUCGGAUGCAUGAGACGAACACAUAUGCAAAUGCAAUGCACAUGAUGACAUGAUAUGAAAUGCAUGACAGGAACAAAAGCAAAACAAGACAAAACCCAACCACAAAGGGAAUCUCACAACACAUCUCUGGAAAAGGAAAGAGUCGGAGUUACAAAUAUGUAAAGUUGUAUCCGGGGCGUUACAACACUCCACCACUACAAGAGGAUCUCGUCCUGAGAUCUAGGAUGGCACCAGAGGGAAAACAAAAGAGGAAGAGAAGAGGUAAAACUAAGUUGCUUCUUUGACAAACGAGUGAAACCAAAGAACCUUGAGAGGUAAAACCAUUUCGAGAAAAAAAACAACAGAGAUGAACGAAGUUGAAAACACUCCGGUAGAAAAGAGGAACAAGGAAGAACAAAUUCAGACAGCACUCCGGUUGAAAAGAGAUGCAAGACUUGAUAAGUUCAAAAGAACUUGAGCAGAGGACACAACACUCCGAUUAAAUGGAUAAGCAUGAAAAGAACAUGAUCCUCACAAUUCGAGAUGAUGGGUGAAGAGAGCAACAUCACAAUGCCUCUGGAAGAAAGAAUAGAAGCUAGAUUGUUAGGAAAAAAGAAAGUAGAAGAAAAUGAUAACUUCUACCACCAAUGAAUUUGAAGGCAUCCUUAGAACGAAGAAUCGAAUGGAGUUGUUGAAAAUUAAACAACAAAAGACUAAGGUUGUUGUGGGCUUAUGGAAAACGUCUCAAAAUUAUGAGAUGAAAUUCUGCCACUAAGGAAAACAACAGAUUGGAUUGAGAGCUAGAAAAGAUAGAAAGCUUCUUCCAUCGAGGUGAUAAGAAAACUUGGAUCACAGGUAAUCACCACAAGGAGCAACAUUCCCAAUGGAAGGCUUUAGGUGAAAUCUAUACCAAGAUAACUCCAAGGAAGAAAAUGAUGGGUUUAAAUAUCUCAUUCCUAAAAACUUUUCAAUCAUGAAACAUGAAGGGAAAUUGUCAAGAAAGACAUAACACCACCUGAGAAAGAUAAGAUAGAAAGAAUUUCACUUCAGAAUGCAAGAUGAAGAAUACUUGAGCUCCUUUGAAAAGAAUCUCGAACAACACUUCGAGAAGGAAUUAAAUCCUUGAUGAGUCAUCAUGUAGAGCCUCCAAGAAGAACUCCGGUAAUAAAAGGAUGAUCAAACGGAAUGAAGGUUGAAGAGAAUAAGGUUGAAGCCUUGCAAUGAUUAGAUGGAUCUUUGUGAUGAUGAGAGCUUGGAACUCCAGGAAAAAGAGAAGAUGAAACAAUUGAAAACGAGAAUUUUUGAUGAACCUCUGGAAUAAGGAAUUGAAUUUACUCGAUGAAACAAGAAUAAGAAUUACAUUAUGCUUAUCCUUCACCAAUUUAAAUUGAUGACAAGCAACGGAUUUGGCAUACUACUUAUUUUGGUUGAAAGGGUCAAGAAAGAUAUAGCGCAAACUUGAAGAGGCCUUCGAUGAACCACCGGUAGGAUUGGAAAGAACGAAUGCAUUAAUGUGAGAACAUAGGAAGAGUAAUCUUGAAUAAAUCACCGUAAGAAUUAAAAAUGAAGAUAGGAAAGGCACAAUUCACCGAGAAGAAUUGGAAAACGAAUGAAGAUACUUGAGGGAAAUUAGAUACAAGAGAACAAAGAGAACACAAAUUGAUUAUAGAAUAUUUGAAUGAUGCACCGGUAAGAUUGGAGAAUGAGAGCUGAAAGCUGAGAAUGAGUAAACUCGAAAUGAUGGCCUUCGGAGAAUCAAACUGAAAAGACUCCUGAAUUGCUCCGGAUGGGUGAAAAGAAUUCUCACAAUCAGAAACAAUUAUGAGUGGAUGGCAUCAAGCUAGAACCAUGAAUCUUGAAGAGAAUGGAGCAAGAGUUAAGAGAAACUCUUCUUCGGUCUUCAAAUGUUGAGAAUAACGACGAGAAACACCAUCAUGAAUUGUUGAGAUACUCUGGGAUGAAUAUUAGAAAGGUUGAACCAAACGAUGAAAAGAAUUAGAAAGAUCUUGGAGAAAUACAUACUACUAAUGAUAAUUCAUUCUUACGUCAAACUUUAAAUGAAUUUCAGAAUAACUCCGAGAAAAUUAGAAGUGUCGGGUAAGAUCCUGGGAAAAGACCUGUGGGUUAGGGCCCACUCAAAAAAAUACACCGUUGAACGAUGUAAAAGAGAAAUUGCGUCGGUUGAAUUAAAUGGCUUGAAUGAGAUAACAUUCUCGCAAUAGCUUGAACGGAUUGAGAAUGGAAACGAAUCUUCUGAGAUAUCUUCAGCACUCUGGAUAUGAAUAUAGAGAGGUGAAUAAAUAAGAGAGCCUUGGAUAAGAACUUCCAACAUGGAAAUCAUGUGAAUUGAGGAAGGUGGAAAUGAUGAAUACCGAAAGCUUGAAUUUAGUCCACCGAAGAAGAAAAAAGGAUGAAAAAGGAAAGAAUGAUGAACUUGAAGCUUCUAAGCAUCUCCACGGGAAAUCACCGGGUAAGAACAUUGAAGAGAGAAUGAAGAGACUUCUCACAAAUAAAAGGAUACAUGAUUAAGAAAUCUGAAUCCUUGAAGAAAAGGGUGGGAGGGCAGGAAAAAAAGGCAACUUGGGACGGAUGAAAUAAAUAACAUUGAGAGGACUUUGAGUUGAUCUUGCGGAUGUUGACAAAGAUCGGAUCCACUAUAAUAGAAACACGCCGGUUGAAAAGGAUUGACAUGACAAUCUCGAUUAUCAUGAAGGAUUAGUAUUCACAUAGAAAUAUGAGAACACCAUUUAGGAAAAGGUACGGAUUCAACACUUGACAUUGAAGCAACUUGAAUACCACAACUUAAAAACAAAACAAAGGAUUAGCUUACAGAAUAAGCCGGAAACAAACAUAUGAUAGAUCCCAUAUCGUAUCAUGUGUCUGUUGGAAAGAUAUCCUACGUGAUACUUGAAUUCCCACUUAUAAACUCCCGAAACUUUCUGGUUAUGCAAUCAGGUGUUGGGGAUACAGGGGAAGCAUAAUAUCUCACCCAAACUAACAAUUCCUACAUCCAGUUGUAUCCAUCCUUCAACACAUACCCAAGAAACCUUCAGAAAUCAUUUACCUCAACCUUCGAAAAGCAUCUAUUAUACGAGUUAUGGCAAUACUCCCGAACUCCCGCCCCAGUACUGGGUGGCGUCGAGGUUAUCUCACCAACAACUGCAUAAAAGAGAUUUUCGAUGUCGGCGAACUCGGGUAUUCUAGAACUACAACGAUAAAAUUGUGACGACAACACCUUGGAGCUCAACUCCCCGGGACACUGCCAAAACCCCUAAAUGUCAGGACGCACCAAGAACAAUGUUCUCGUCACAAAACCAUCGAAAUGAUUCCAAGAUACCCACAUGAUCCUAAAAACAAUUCGUGAAAUUUGAGGAUAGAAGAGUCAAAACUCUACGUCAGGAGGUGAGGGAGUCCUGGAUUAGGGGAUGUUCGGGUAGCCGGACUAUACCUUCAGCCGGACUCCUGGACUAUGAAGAUACAAGAUUGAAGACUUUGUCCCGUGUCCGGAUGGGACUUUCCUUGGCGUGGAAGGCAAGCUUGGCGAUGCGGAUAUUCAAGAUCUCCUACCAUUGUAACCGACUCUGUGUAACCCUAACCCUAUUCGGUGUCUAUAUAAACCGGAGGGUUGUAGUCCGUAGGCAAUCAACUCCAUACACAACAAUCAUACCAUAUGCUAGCUUCUAGGGUUUAGCCUCCUUGAUCUCGUGGUAGAUCUACUCUUGUACUACCCAUAUCAUCAAUAUUAAUCAAGCAGGAGUAGGGUAUUACCUCCAUAGAGAGGGCCCGAACCUAGGUAAAAAACAUCUUGUCCCUUGUCUCCUGUUACUGCCUUGACGCACAGUUCGGGACCCCCUACCCGAGAUCCGCCGGUUUUGACACCGACAUUGGUGCUUUCAUUGAGAGUUCCUCUGUGUCGUCGCCUUUAGGCCCGAUGGCUCCUUUGAUCAUCAACAACGAUACGGUCCAGGGUGAGACAUUUCUCCCCGGACAGAUCUUCGUCUUCGGCGGCUUCGCUCUGCGGGCCAAUCCGCUCGGCCACCUGGAGCAGAUCGAAAGCUACGCCCCUGGCCAUCAAGUCAUGUUUGGAAGCUUAAACUACACGGCUGACAUCCGCGGAGACUUGAUCUUCGACGGGCUCGAGCCACGGCCAAGUGCGCCGCACUAUCUCGAGGGGCAUGAUCUAGCUCUGCCCCCGGACAGUGUCCUAGAGGCCGCACACACAUCGGUUCCGACCCCUAACUCGGAGCCUAUUGCGCCAAUUGAGGAUGAGCGGUUGGACGUCACCUCGGGGGCUGCGAUCCCGAAAGCGAUCGAGCCAAAUGCUAGCCCCGCACUCUGCAUGACCCGUGACUCUGAGGAUCCAGACUCCUCCCCAGACUCCGAACCCCCCGCGCCCCUGCCAAUCGAAUCCGAUGGGGCGCCGAUAAUGGAGUUCACCACCGCAGACAUCUUUCAGCAUUCGCCUUGUGGCGAUAUCCUGAACUCUCUCAAGUCUCUCUCCUUAUCAGGAGAGCCCUGGCCGAACUACGGUCAGCGAGGAUGGGAUACGGACGAUGAAGAAAUUCAAAGCCCACCCACCACCCACUUGGUAGCCACUGUCGACAAUUUAAACGACGUGCUCAACUUCGACUCCGGAGACAUCGACAGCAUGGAUGACGAUGUAGGAGAUACCGACGAACCAACACCCAUAGGGCAUUGGACAGCCACCUCAUCUCACGAUGUGUACAUGGUGGAUACCCCUAAAGGAAGCGACAACGAGGAAAAAGGGGAUGGGACAGGAGAUCGACCCCCCGAAAAGCAAUCAAAGCGUCGGCGUAAACGCCGACCCAAUCCCCGCCUCGACAAAAACCCAGCCAUAGAGCAGGACAAGCCGAUAGACGAUGAGCAGGCCUUAGAGCAACCGUCCGAACAGGGCAACACGGAUAGAGAAACCAAACAUCCCUCCCCCGACGAAAACGGCAUUCCGGACGACCUCACGCCGAAUAAACCUAUGGAGCAGAAGAAUCUCCACGAAAGGCUCGUUGCAACUGCACGCAGCCUAAAGAAGCAGAAGCGGAAGCUAAAAACAGCGGAAGACGCACUCCGGAUUAGAUGGAGCAAAGUAAUCAAUACCACAGAUAAGUACAGCGACAGUCGCCGCACUAAAAGCUAUCCGAAAAGAAAGCUACUGCCUGAAUUCGACGAAGAGGCCCUAGAGCCCUCGCAUUCAAAAAUGAAAAAGCCACACGGUCGGAUAGACGACCCCAUAAAGCGGCAAGCAGCGCCGCACCUAAAUCGGCAUGCGACCCACUUAAGGAUUCGCAUCAUGGCCCAGUCAGGUCCAUUUAUGGGCCAAGAAAGCAAGCUCUUGUAAGCAAUGCUAUGAAGCCAUCAUCAGAAUCCGGCACACCCAAAUACAGGGGCGCCGCACACCCCCUAUGUUUCACCGAUGAGGUCCUGGACUAUGAAUUCCCAGAGGGAUUCAAACCCGUAAACAUAGAGGCAUGUGAUGGAACAACAGACCCUGGAGUCUGGAUCGAGGAUUAUAUCCUCCACAUACACAUGACUAGAGGAGAUGGUCUCCACGCCAUAAAAUAUCUACCCCUUAAGCUUAAAGGGCUAGCCCGGCAUUGGCUUAAAAGCCUUCCCGAAAACACAAUUGGAAGCUGGGAAGAGCUCGAGGAUGCUUUCCGAGCAAACUUUCAAGGGACCUAUGUCCGCCCUCCGGAUGCAGAUGAUCUUAGUCACAUAACUCAACAACCCGGAGAAUCAGCUCGGCAGUUCUGGAAUAGAUUCCUCACUAAAAAGAAUCAGAUAGUCGACUGUCCGGACGCCGAAGCCUUAGCAGCUUUCAGGCAUAACAUCCGAGACGAAUGGCUCGCCAGACACCUCGGCCAAGAAAAGCCAAGAACAAUGGCCACACAAACAAGCCUCAUGACCCGCUUUUGUGCAGGGGAGGACAGCUGGUUGGCAAGGUGAAGCCCCAGCGACCCAAGUACAUCCGAAACUAGGGAUGGAAACGGAAAACCACGACGCAACAAGGACCGUCGCCGGACUAAGGACAAAAGUCCGAAGAGCACGGCAGUCAAUGCCGGAUUCAAAGGCUCACGACAAAAUCAGGAAAAAUUGCCCCCUCAGGAUAACAAGGACGAUCCAUCCAACCUAAAUAAAAUCCUGGACAGGAUAUGUCAGAUACACACUACUCCCGGGAAGCCUGCUAACCAUACCCACAGAGACUGUUGGGUUUUCAAACAAUCCGGCAGACUCAAUGCCGGACACAAGGGGCUCGACACACCAAGCGAAGACGAGGACGAACCCCAAAAGCAGAGCACCAGGAAACAAAAGAACUUCCCACAAGAAGUAAAAACAGUGAACUCACUUCACAUAACAAAACGUGCAGCGCCCGUAAAGGUACGCACCACACGGCCCAUCCCCAAAGGGUCCUGCCACUGGUUGUCAAAACCGAUCAUCUUCGAUCAGCUAGAUUAUUCUAGGAAUAUCAAGAAUGUAGUCUGGAGUGCCUUGAUACUCGAUCCAAUAAUUGGCGGACUCCAGUUUUCAAAUGUCCUUAUGGACGGUGGCAGUGGACUAAACCUGAUAUAUCAAGAUACAAUCCAGCACAUGGGGAUAAACCCAGCAAGAAUCCGCUGCAGCAAAACCUCCUUUCAAGGGGUAACACCUGGUCCGGACACCCAUUGUAUGGGUUUUCUCCGGCUCGAAGUUAUAUUCGGCUCUACCUAUAACUUCCGCCGUGAAAAGCUGACCUUCCAUAUUGUCUCGUUCUCAAGUCGCUAUCAAGCACUACUAGGACGCGUAGCUUUCGCCCGCUUUAACGCAAUACCGCAUUAUGCAUAUCUCACGCUUAAGAUGCCUGGUCCAUGAGGCAUCAUCUCUUUGAAGGGGAAGCACUAAAGUGCACCUCCCCAAGCGGGGGACUGUGCGGCCGCUUUGACAGCCCCACAGUAAAAUGGCCUCACCGGCCAAAAAACUUCGAAAUAGGUCAUUAAAGACCACGAACGCGGAUAGACGAGUUCGGUACAAAAUCAUGAUUGAUACAGGCUUAGUGGCCAUAUACCCCCACACUAGGGGCUCCAUGCAUAUACAAUAAGAGACAAUAAAGCUCAAUUUUAUAUAUUUUACUUUACACUUUGUUUAUUUUAAACUUUUGUUCGGCACGACCCAUUUUCAACUCAGUUCCUCUCUUUUACAGAUGAAUGUCGUGCGGCGCCCGUCCAGGAUACGGCACAACGGAGACACAGGCGCAAACGUGCAGUAGGGACCCGUCCUAAAGGAUUAUUUUUAGAUUAAGACCCUGCGUAAACCUUUUUUACUGUCUCUUGUUGCUACACAUCCCCUGGUUUUUUUUGAUAUAACCAAGGAGGAGGCUGGCGUCUUGGCAUGUGGCCACGUCAGAAAUUUUUGCACGUACCUGGACACUAGGGGCUUUUUUAAUAAAGAGUGUUGUUUCGCCCGCACUCAUAAAGACCGAACACCUUAGGGAGUGUUCGGCGUCGCGAGUUUUGGCAUUAUAUGCAUCAGCUCCGAAUCAUGUCUUUGGUCAAAUGUUGGGUUGCCCGGCUCCUGAGUUCGGCUACCUUACGUUCUGCUCUAUCGGCUAAGGUAGCACCAGGAGAACUACUGCAAUUGUGCCCCCGGUUCGGCCGGGCGAGCACCUCAGUAGAGAAAGCCGAAAACUGACUGUCAUGAUGUAGCGUGAGACUGGUCAGCCACUCGAUGACCUAUCGGAAUCUAUCGGAUUCCUCCGCUUUAACGAAGGGCCGCUUCCCGGUCAGGCACAUACGCGCCCCGAAUUCGGACGAGCGUAGUUGCCACCAAGGAGCUACCUAAAAAGUCUCAUUGUCAAACUCCUAUGGCUAAGUGAAAGUGUUAAAGCAUUAUAGUCCGGUUGCCUGGCCCGCUGCGCUAUCACCUCCUUUGUAGGACCAAGAUGUUGGGUUAAGUGUGAAAAUUCGUCUUCUGCGAGCACCCCCGCACUAUGUGUGUGGGGGCUGAAGCCAACGACUGCCAUCUUUCAAAUUCUAUAUAUAUAUAUAUAUAUAUAUAUCUUAAAACAGACACACAGGAGAUGUUCCCAAUACUUGGAGGCACAAGUAUAAAAAAAGGCCACUAUAGUUUAUCAAAAUAUUACUCUAUAAUUACAUAUGCUAUCAUAACAUAGCAUCUUUCGGGCACUGCGUCUCUAUUACACGAGCGCCUUCAAGAACUUCCUGAAAAUAGUGCUCGGAGGGUACUCGGCUUUUGUCCGAAUCUCAGGACGCAACAACGGGGGUCUCCAUCUCUGCCCAGUAUGUCUUAACACGGGCAAGAGCCAUCCUAGCGCCCUCUAUGCAUGCUGACCUCUUCAUUGCAUUUAUACGCGGCACCGCGUCAAGGAAUUGCUGCACCAAGCUGAAAUAACUCUUCGGCUCCGAUCUCCCCGGCCACAGGUGACCCAUGACGCACUUCAUGGCGAGUCCAGACAACCUAUUCAGUUCGGCCCAUUGAGCCAAACGAUCAUCCACAUCCGGUCCAACGGGGCAAACUUCGGAUCACAAAAUUUCCUUCGCAGCAUAAAGGGCUUUCUAGCCGCAAUCUGUUCGGCCUGACGCAGCUCUUCCUUCGCAGCUCUCAUCGCAGAGCGAGCGUCCUUGGCAUCGGCAACGGCCUUCUAUAAGUCCGUCUGUCUCGCCCGGUCUUCUUUCUCAAGAAGUUUGCAACGGUCUGCAGCGCUCUUUAACUUCUCGGCCAUCUCGGCCAUCUCUUCUUUGCUUCGGCAGUGAGCAGCCUAUUCGGCUCUCAGCUCUUCAAGGGCCUUCUCGGCAGCCGCAUCGCUUUUUCUGGCUUGCUCCUUAGCUCGGGCAAGUUCUGCCCUAAGAUUCUCCACGGCGGCCGUACCAUCUGCGUCAAGCACACACAUUGUAAGACACUGGCAUGAAGCUCCUCUUACCUGAUGCCGCUCGAAGAAUUACAUACCUUGAGCCUCAUCAAGCCGCUUGUUGACAAGCGCGAUGUCGGCAUCUGCCACGUCCAGUUGCCGCUUUAGUUCGGCCAAAUCAUCAGUUCGGCUUGAUUCCAGACACCUUGCCACCUACAUUCAAAGGCGACAUCUUAGACCUGGGAUUAUGAUCCUCUGCGUGCCGUCAUUUCUUGACAACGCACAGAGUCUCAGGGGCUACUAUCUACACAGGGCGCAUCUUACUUAUGCGCAACUGACAAAAGUGUACACUAUCUAACGUACCUCAAAACCCGUCAGUAAACUUUUGACGGCCUCAUGCAAUCCUCUUUCUGCGGAUGAAAUCCUUUCAAUCACCGUGCCCAUCAACGCACGGUGCUCCUCUGAGAUAGAAGCUCGCCCCAGCAGAAUCUUUAGCUCCUCCGGCCGAGCACCAGACGGUGCUGGACUUGUCCUAUGGCCUCUUUAGAAGGCCGCACGCGGAGAGCCUUGGGGGCCACAUAGCUAUCUUCUGCCCCUGCCGGAUUCAGAGAAACCCUCCGCGACAACACCUCAGGGUCGCCCGCCUCGCUAGGCGGUACGGCAGGGGGAGGCGUCCCGCUCUCCAUCAUCUCCAGAAGAAGAUCCCCCCAAGACGAGCUCUGCUGAGAAGGGCUGAGGUCCGAGCUACAAGGUAAAAUUUCGGUUAAUCUUCUCAGAUAUAAAUCAAGGAUUUCUUUCAUCCUUCAAAAGGAAAACCUAUCUCUACUUACGGCUCGCUGGAGGGCUGAUCCCUUUGAGGGCGUAGUUCGGCCGAGGAACUCCCCGGCGUCGGACCCUCUGACGAGGAUUUUCUCCCCCGCUUCGGGGCCAUGGUCUCCGGGUCGUCAGAGGCGGCCCUCUUCUUCCUCUUGGGAGAGGAAUUGUCGGUUCCUCCCUUCGGAGCAGCCUCCUUCGAGGAGGCCAUAGUUCCCUUGUCAUUCCCCUUACUUCCCUCCAAAGGCAUUAUCUUCAACAUCCUGACAAGCACGGGAUCCGGCCUGGUUUCGGGAAGGGGAGCCGGACACCUGAUCAGCUUUGCCUUCACUAUCCACUCCUGUUUAAAAGGACAGCUCUUCUAGGGGCAAGUUUAUGACGAUUAUAUGGAUAGUAGGUCCGGGCACAAGGUUAGUUACUUCGGUAUCCGGGCGAUUGCAGCUUAGGCCUGCGUCCUCGGUCAAAUCCGGACACAUCAUUUGUGAUCCAAAGAACAGUUUAUACAUCUCCACGGGCGUUGCGCCCAUAAAAUGAUGGAGAGCUCGUGAUCCCUCCGGAUUAAACUCCCACAGACAAAGAGAGCGACGUUUGCCGGACAGUGUUCGGCGAAUCAGCAUGACCUGCGUCACCUUGACCAGGUUGAGGUCUCUUUCUAAGAGAUCCCUGAUGCGGCCCUGCAACAAGGGCACGUCUUUGGAUAACCCCCAAUCUAAUCCUUUGUUGACCCAUGACGCUAGCCGUGAUGGGGGACCCGAGCGAAAGGCAGGAGGCACCGCCCACUUGGCGCUCCUAGGAGCGGUGAUAUAGAACCAUUCUCGUUGCCACAAGCCGAGCGCCUCUUGAAAGGAGCCCUCGGGCCAUGGAGCAUCAGCAUUCUUACUUAUGACAGCGCCUCCGCACUCUGCGUGCCGUCCCUCGACCAUCUUCGGCUCCACUCCAAAAGUCUUGAGCCAUAAUCCGAAGUGAGGAGUGACACGGAGGAACGCUUCGCACACAACGAUGAAUGAGGAAAUGUGGAGGAUGGACUCCGGAGCUAAGUCAUGAAAUUCCAGCCCGUAAUAAAACAGCAGCCCCCUCACGAAGGGAUCCGUCAGGAAGCCUAACCCCCGAAGGAAGUGAGACAUGAACACUACGCUCUCACUGGGCUGGGGACUGGGAAUAGCCUGCCUUUGAGCAGGCAACCUAUGCGAAAUUUCGGCGGUCAAGAACUUAGCCUCUCUCAACUUUAGCACAUCCUCCUCCAUGACGGAGGAGGGCAUCCAUCGGCCUUGAAGGUCGGAACCGGACAUUGUCGAAGGUCCGAAGCGCCUGGAAUCUGGAGCCUAGGGUGUUGGAACUCGAGGCGACGGGCGAACUCAUUUGAGAUUGGAAAAAGGAGUAAGGCCUUGGUCUCUUUAUAAGAGGUUGAAUACCAGGAGCCCUCCCCAUAAACCGUUUAGGACUCGCUUUUAAUCGAGAAAACAUGCUAACGGGCACGAUUGGGUUACCCACGUCCGUAUUGAUGAGAAUCUUGUAAAAGGGGGGCACGCGAUCUCUGCUUUGACAAGACGUGCCAAGGAAACCGCCUCGCAAAACACGCUGAGGUGGAAAAGUGAAAACGAUUCGAGUAAAGGACUUGGCUGUAGUGUGAUGACGCACUGCGGAAUACGUCAGCAGAUUUGAUUUGUGUUAAUAUUAUUCUCUCUAUGGCAAUAUGUGGAAGCUUAUUUUGCAGAGCCGGACACUACUCUUCGUGUCUACAAUCUUCUAUGAAGGACUUGGAGGAGGAACCCGCCUUGCAAUGCCGAAGACAAUUUGCGCGCCGGACUCGUCGUUAUUGAAGCCUGGUUCAGGGGCUACUGAGGGAGUCCUGGAUUAGGGGGUGUUCAGGUAGCCGGACUAUACCUUCAGCCGGAACCCUAUCCGGUGUCUAUAUAAACCGGAGGGUUGUAGUCCGUAGGCAAUCAACUCCAUACACAACAAUCAUACCAUAGGCUAGCUUCUAGGGUUUAGCCUCCUUGAUCUCGUGGUAGAUCUACUCUUGUACUACCCAUAUCAUCAAUAUUAAUCAAGCAGGAGUAGGGUAUUACCUCCAUCGAGAGGGCCCGAACCUGGGUAAAAAACAUCUUGUCCCUUGUCUCCUAUUACCAUCCGGCCGUGACGCACAGUUCGGGACCCCCUACCAGAGAUCCGCCGGUUUUGACACCGACAGGAGGCCUCACCAGAGCGACGAAGGGACUGAGGAGUAAAAAGAAUCCUACUCUCCGGUAUAUAUAAUCCUAAGACUCAAAACAUUUUGUUCUAGACUAAACAACAUCAGCGAUUCAAUCAAGCAAGGGGCUCCUAAGUCGGGGAUGGCUCUGAUUACCAACUUUUAACACCCAUAAUGCGGCUAUAUCUCCCACGUGUCGGUUCACGACUUAGAGGCAUAGCCGCAUGGUAGGCAUUUCGCAAGAGGGGUAAUCUUUACACAUCCCAUGUACUGAGUAAGAAAGGGAUAAAGAGUCGGCUUACAAUCGCCACUUCACACAAUACAUAAAUAGUCAUACAUUAACCAGAAUACAAUCAAGGUCCGACUACUGAACCAAAACAAAGAAAGACAACCCCAAAUGCUAGAUCCCCGAUCGUCCCAACUGGGCUCCACUACUGAUCAAUAGGAAACGAAACUACACAACAAACAAGAUCUCCAUCGAGCUCCCACUUGAACUCGGUUGCGUCGCCUGCACUGGUAUCAUCGGCACCUGCAACUGUUUGGAAGUAUCAGUGAGUCACGAGGACUCCGCAAUCUCACACCCGUGAGAUCAAGACUAUUUAAGAUUAUGGGUUGGAAAGGGUAGUGAGGUGGAGCUGCAGCAAGCACUAAGCAUAUAUGGUGGCUAACAUACGCAAAUAAGAGCAGAAGAGAAGCAACGCAACGGUCAUGAAGCUAGAAGUGAUCAAGAAGUGAUCCUGAAACUACUUAUGUUCAAGCAUAACACAAGAACCGUCUUCACUUCCUGGACUCCGCCGAAAAGAGACCAUCACGGCUACACACGCGGUUGAUUCAUUUUAAUUAAUUUAAGUGUCAAGUUCUCUACAACCAAAUAUUAACAAAUUCCCGUCUGCCACAUAACUGCGGGCACGGCUUUCGAAAGUUCAAAACCCUGCAGGGUUGUCCCAACUUAGCCCAUCACAAGCUCUCAUGGUCAACGAAGGAUAUUCCUUCUCCCAGGAAGACCCGAUCAGACUCGGAAUCCCGGUUACAAGACAUUUCGACAUUGGUAAAACAAGACCAGCAAAGCCGCCCGAAUGUGCCGACAAAUCCUAAUAGGAGCUGCAGAUAUCUCGUUCUCAGGGCACACCGGAUGAGCCAGAUGUCGGGUUGGCAUAGACCCUGGUUGCCCAGGGGGCGCCGGACAUCGCUUAGGUUGGACCAACACUUAGAGAAGCACUAGUCCGGGGGGUUAAAAUAAAGAUGACCCUCAGGAGCGUGACUCCCAAGGGAAAAGUAGGUGGUGGUGAGGAAAAAGGUAAAACCAAGGUUGGGCCUUGCUGGAGGAGUUUUAUUCAAAGUCAACUGUCAAGGGGUUCCCAUAACACCCAACCGCGUAAGGAACGCAAAAUCAAGGAACAUAACACCGGUAUGACGGAAACUAGGGCGGCAAGAGUGGAACAAAAUACCAGGCAUAAGGUCGAGCCUUCCACCCUUUACCAAGUAUAUAGAUGCAUUAAAGUAAAUAAGAUAUAUUGUGAUAUCUCAAACAUGUCCAUGUUCCAACACGGAACAAACUUCAUCUUCACCUGCAACUAGCAACGCUAUAAGAGGGGCUGAGCAAAAGCGGUAACAUAGCCAAACAACGGUUUGCUAGGAAAGUUGGGUUAGAGGCUUGACAUGACAAUAUGGGAGGCAUGAUAUAGCAAGUGGUAGGUAGCAUGGCAUAGCAAUAGAGCGAACAACUAGCAAGCAAAGAUAUAAGUGAUUUCGAGGGUAUGGUCAUCUUCCCUGCAAUGUACUCAAAGUUGUCGAAAGCUUGAUCCUUGUAAGCGUACUCAACAGGUUUCUCGGUCAUGUACUCGUCUCCCGGCUCUACCCAAAGUAAGAACACAAGCAAAGUACCAACAAUCAAUCACGGUGCAAUGCACAAGCAACAUGAUGCAAAACAUGGCAUGAUAUGUGGGAUGUGAUAUGCAAUGCAUAUGCGUGCUCCGGAAGGAAAAGGAUGAAACAAGGAAUCAACUUGGCAAACCAAGUGUGUCGCUGGAAAGAUGAGAUGAUUUCGGUUGAAAUUGAUAUAAAGAUGACAGGAACCGGAAGCACGGUUUGCAAAUGGCAAGCAAAACAAUAAUGGCACAAUUCUGCAAUUAACAGCACGAUGCCAUCUAGAAUGCAACAAGAAACUAAGCUACUGCACCCCAACAUAGCAACAAAGCAUAUGGCAGUGAUUUAGUCAAGAUGCUUGACAAAACAUGAACACUGAGCUAUGGAAAAAUCACACAAGAGCAGGUUCAAACAAGCAUGGCAAAAGUGCAAAAGAUAUCAGCAUCACAGACUUAGAGAAAUUACUAACAUGUCAAAAACAACAUCAGGAAGCAAUGUUUAGAUCAAGCAAACAAUAUGCUACAGAACAUAUCAUAGCAAUACAAGGCAUGGCAUGAAACUACUAAAUGCAUAGAACAAAAGUAUCUUACUGAUCAUGAGCCAAAAAGGCACAGAAGAUAUGAUGGCACACAUGUAAACAUAGAAAGUUUUAUAAGCAGUUUCAAACUUAGCAGAAAACAGAGCAUAACAUAAACAAAAGUAUGAAGGCAUCUUUUCGAGGCAUGGCGUGACAAGAUAAGCAUAGCAUCAGCAAGAUGACAUGUUCAUGAAGCUAACCAUGACAAUAGCAAGUUCAUAGCAUGCAUGGAUCAUUAGCAAUAACCAUGUCAAAAUUGAUUAACAUGUAAACAAUCUUCCAGGAACAUUUAUAGAAAAAGUAGAGCAAGAUUAAGACAUGAUAGGGCACUCCAUAACUGCAAACAGGGCCAUGGAUGGAUAGAGCAUAACCAUAUGUCCAAAACAUCCUUACUGAAGGUACUCAAAACAAUCAUGGAUCUCACUGUAGCAUCAUGUUUACAUGGCAUAAAAAUAAUAGCAGGAAAAUGACUGUAAAAUUGUAAGCCCCUGAAAUCGGCAAUAUCACGAAGGCUACUUUGUAUGCUUGUGCUAGUCAUCACAUAGAGCACAAAAAUACAUGGCAAGCACCCCUGUAAAUAUGGCAUGGCAUAGAUCAAAACACAUGUAGAGCUCAUGCCCAUAUGAAACACACAUCAAAUGUGGCAAAAAUGACAAAUCACGCUAAACUCAUAAGAAGCAGCAGUAAACAUUUUAUAGCACUCUUGCAUCAAUGAUUAGGGCAUCAAGAUGGACUCAAACAAGCAUGUCACAAUGGAAUGAAAUGAAGAGCCACCACAAGAAAUAUGUCAACUAGUGACCUUCUCUCAGUGACCCCGGCUGAAUUGGUCAUAAAUCCACGGCCAUUUCGCUUGGAAUGGCUCAAACCCUGAAAUUGCCUUACACCAAAUGGUCAUAAAGCAGACAAGAGUGGUCAACGACCUUCUUUCUACCUGAUUACGACAAAUAUAAAUGGUCAUGAGGUUGUGAACGUGGAUGCAUUGGUACUUAAGGUGUCGCUCAAGGUGGGCUUGGGCCUCGGUGGAACGAGGCCACCUUCUUUUAAAAAAUAUGUGUGUCAUGUAGGCCUUGGUCCAUCCAGGAAGAAAUGUGGGAUGCCCUCAUAUUACUCAAAAAGAACAUAUAUUCGGCCAACAAAAAUGGGAAAAUAACAAGUUUUUCAUUAGAAUGGGAAAAUAAUGAACUCCUUCGUGAAUCUUGCUAUAUGCUUUAGCAAUUACAAAACUAAACGUGUAAUUCAAAAAAAUGUUAAUGUUAAUAUGUAUUUCAAAAAAUGUAAUCACGUGUUUAAAAAACUAAAUGUGUGCACUUGAAAAGUUUCAUGCAUAUAAAAAAUGGUAACCAUAAAUAAUAUUAGAUAUGUAUAAAAAAAGUUUCAUGUGUAUGCAAAAAUAAUCAUCAGUACGUAUAUCUGAAAAUUUUACAAUAUAUAUAUGGAAAAGUAGAUAACAAAACAAGAUUUUCUAAAAAUGUUAAUCAUGUAUUUAAAUUUCCUAACCAAUGUCAACAAUGUUUUAUAUGUAUACAAAAAUGUACAAUGUGCAAAAACAAAUAUAGACAUCAAAACCUAUAUAUGAAAAGAUAUUUUUNNNNNNNNNNNNNNNNNNNNNNNNNNNNNNNNNNNNNNNNNNNNNNNNNNNNNNNNNNNNNNNNNNNNNNNNNNNNNNNNNNNNNNNNNNNNNNNNNNNNNNNNNNNNNNNNNNNNNNNNNNNNNNNNNNNNNNNNNNNNNNNNNNNNNNNNNNNNNNNNNNNNNNNNNNNNNNNNNNNNNNNNNNNNNNNNNNNNNNNNNNNNNNNNNNNNNNNNNNNNNNNNNNNNNNNNNNNNNNNNNNNNNNNNNNNNNNNNNNNNNNNNNNNNNNNNNNNNNNNNNNNNNNNNNNNNNNNNNNNNNNNNNNNNNNNNNNNNNNNNNNNNNNNNNNNNNNNNNNNNNNNNNNNNNNNNNNNNNNNNNNNNNNNNNNNNNNNNNNNNNNNNNNNNNNNNNNNNNNNNNNNNNCGUUUAAUAUCUAUAAAAAAAUGUUUCUAGUGUACACAAAUUUGUUCAUAAAAUGUGGUCUAAUAUUCUUGAAAAAUGGAGAAAUUUUUUUACAACAAAUAUUUGUUAGGUUCUAAUAUUCUUGAAAAUGGAGAAAUUUUGGACGCUCGAAAAAUGAAAAAUGAUUUUUCGUCCAAAGAAAAUGAAAACUUCCUUAGGAAACAUUGUUUGCCAUUCCAAUAUGCACCUUUUGUGCACAAUACGAGAUCAUCUCAACAAAAUAUUCCAUUAAAUUUGGCCAUAAAAUUGAUCAUUUGCCUUGAAAGCUGUUGAUCUCCACACAUGCUAGCUCAUUUCUGAGAAUAUGCAUAUUUUUUUAAUAUUUGCCGUAUUACAAGUUUAUUAUUUUUCCUGGUAACUUGGCCACAUAUAAUGACACAAUGCGAAGGUUUUCCAUUUUUUUGAAUUUUUCAUGCAUGUUUCAAAAUGCGGUCAAAACGGCGGGCAUGACCGUUGCUAGCUAGUGGGUGAAUCUUGGAAAGAUCUUGGUGUUUCUCUGAUUAAAUAGAUACUUUUGUACCUAAAAAUGAUUUUUGGUAAAAAUAAAUAGCAAUCUAUAAGGCAGCUACAGUUCAAAUUUGACACAUUUCCUACUAAAUCGACGGAAAUUUGUCUUUUUCACGAGAGGUAGAUAAAAACUUUUGACACUCAACCAUUUUGUCAAUUGUGCAUUAAAUAUGGCCUAAUAUAUUAGAAAAUUGAUUUGGUCCAAUUUUGCAACAAAUAUAUGGUAGAUCCUUCACAAAAAAACUCAUUUUGGGCAUUCAAAAAAUGGAAAAUGAAUUUUUCGUCCAAAGAAAAUGGAAACUCCCUUAGGCAACAUUGUUUGCCAUUCCAAGAUGCACCCUUGUGCACAAUAUGAGAUCAUUUGAACAAACUAUGCCAUAAAUGUGACCAUAAGAUUGAUCAUUUGGCUUGAAAUCCAUGAAUCUUCACACAAGAUGGCUCAUUUCUGAGAACAUUUUUUAAAAGGUUUGCCAUAUUACAAGUUUAUUAUUUUUUAUGGUAACUUGGUCACAUAUAAUGACUCAAUGCGGAGGUUUCCCAAUUUUUUUAUUUUUUUUAUGCUCGUUUCAAAAUGCGAUCAAAACGGCGGGAAUAACCGUUCCUAGCUAGUGGCUGAAUCUUGGAAUUUUUUUGGUGUUUCUCUGACUAAAUAGAUACUUUUGUACCUAUAAAUGAUUUUUUGAAAAAAUAAAUAGCAAAUUAUGAGGCAGCCGUAGUUCAAAUUUGACCCGCUUCCUACUGAAACGGCAGAAAUUUGUCUUUUUCACGAGAGAUUGAUCAAAACUUUUGACACACAACCAUUUAGUCAAUUGUGCAUUAAACAUGGCCUAGUAUUUUAGAAAAUUAAUUUGGUACAAUUUUACAACAAAUAUUUGGUAGGUCCUUCACAAAAAAACCCUCUUUUCGGGCACUCGAAAAAUGGAAAAUGAAUUUUCUGUGCAAAGAAAAUGAAAACUCUCUUAGGCAAGAUUGUUUGGAAUUCCAAGAUGCACCCUUGUGCAUAAUAUGAGAUCAUUUGAACAAACUCUUCCAUAAAUGUGGCCAUAAGAUUGAUCAUUUGGCUUGAAAGCCACGAACCUUCACGCACGAUAGCUCAUUUCUGAGAACACUUUUUUAAAAUAAUUGUCAUAGUACCAGUUUAUUAUUUUUCCUGAAAACUUGGUCACAUAUGAUGACACAAUGCGAAGGUUUUCCAAUUUUUUCAUUUUUUUCAUUUUUUAUGCCCGUCUUAAAAUGCGGUCGGAAUGGCGGGCUUGACCAUUUCAUAGCUAGUUGUUGAUUCUUGGAAACCUUUUCAUGUUUCUAUGAUUAAAUAAAUAAUUUUGUAUCUACAAAUGAUUUUUGGGAAAAAUAAAUAGCAAACUAUGAGGCCACUGCAGAUUAAAUUUGACCCGCUUCCUAUUGAAUCGGUGGAUAUUUGUUUAAAUGAACAAAAAUAGCUAGAAGGAUUGGGAUGCAUACAAAUUGGUGAUCAUCCAUAAAAUUUGGUCUAAACUAAGUGAAAAUUUUAGUGAUGCAAUUUGCAAAAUAAUUUUGCUAGUUGCUUCACAAAAUCCCAUGUUUUUAGCACUAAGAGAUAAUUUAAAUAAAUACCUCAUGUUUUGAACCAAUCAGGAAGCAGCCCACGGAUCACCCCGUGUAGUCGAUCUAAGCCGUCCACACUCUCCCUCAGUCCCUCGAGCCAGCGUCUCUCGCUCACCUCUCACUUCUCGCCCCUCUCCCACCAACCCUCCCUCUCUCCCUCCCCGAUCCAGAUCACCGCCGCAUCCCCCCUCUCUCUAUCUCCGAUCCAGAUCGGCCGCCUCUUCUCCCUUCCUUCUACCGCUUCCCUAUCUCUCUUCCCAUCCCCGGUAGUGGCGCCCUCCUUCCCUCAUGCUGCACCCAAACCUCCCUCCCGCUCCUAGCUUUUCUUCCUCCUCCGCCGCCUCUAGGGUUUCUCUCCCUGAUCCCCAAUCCCCUAGCGCUCCACUCCUUCCUUGCCGCCGCCACCUCCGGCGCCGGAUCAUGGCGACCUCAGGCGGGAAUCGAAGACUCCUGUCCGGCGAGAUCCGGCGCACGCCCGAGCCUGAGCGAUGAGGUGGUUCAAAUCGUGCAUGGGGACGCAGCGAGGGACCUAACGGUGGUCACCGUCAGCUUCCCGGACAAGACCGGCCUGGGCUGCGACCUCUGCCGCCUUGUCGUCCUCUUCAGCCUCAACGUCCACAAAGGCGACAUGAGCACCGACGGCCACUAGUGCUACAUCGUGCUCUGGGUCGCCGCCUCGCGCCGGGGCCGGGCCGUGGACUGGGACGCCCUCAAGGAGCGGCUGGUGGAGCUUCGUCCGCACCACGCUAGAGCAGACCCGCCUCCGCACCGCCCUCACGCCCCACCCCUCGCAGGUUGGUUCAUGUCCUACUACUUCCCUUUGCUCGCCUUGCCGAGCUCCCUGCUUCUUUUUCCUUGCCACCUUUCAAUGUCCUAUCUCGGUACACGCUGCGCUGGCGAGCAUGCUUUGUCUGCUCGAGGUGACUAGCAAAGCCGUAACUGCAUACUGGUGUCCAUGCUAGCCCGGCCCGUUAGGAAGGUGUCCAUGAAUUCAGAUGCACCAGCUAACUGAAAAGUUGGUCUAAAACAGAGGAGAAAAACCAGUACUGUUGUGAUGUCGCACUAGUGCUAGUUGAAUUUCGGUGUCUGGUCUUUGUCUGAAGCAUGAGCCUCAUUCAUUUCUUCAGACAUAUAAUAAAUUGUUGACUACUUAAGGCUUUGAGUGAGGGUCAGUCUCCGAGUCUGGUAUAGUGGUAUAGGCAUUUUUUAUGAAAUUGUCCAUCUAGAACAUCAUAAAGUGUAGGUCUCCUGUGAUAUCAGCUGAUGCCAGUCACAUUUGUCAUUCACAGAAGAUGAUUUUUUUCCUGUGUCAUGCUUCCAGGAAAAGUUCAGGCUCAUACGAGCCAACGACGAUGUGACUGUUUUGGAUGCUCUCUCCUUCAGCGCUCUCAAAAUUGGACUGCUUCGUAGCUUGACGGUUGAGAAGAAAAACUAUGUUCAGGUACUUCAUCUCCAAGUCCAAAGUUUCCUUGACCAAAACCCACCAACAAUUAUCCCAAAAGGCUAUGAACUGAAAUAUAGGUUUACAUGUGAAGCUGCUUAUAUCUGAAUAUUACAGCUGCAUUACAGCUGCAGUUUGUUCUGUAAGAAUAGUUGCUAGCUCUUUCUGUGACCCAUCUUUAUUUCUUUGUUCUGUUUGGAUGGAGUAGGAGCCCUCUUUGGUCGACAUGCAUGAGGAGGAGGAAAUUGUCUCCCCACACAAGGUUGAUCCCUCUCGACUUUACUGUGAGGUUUUUUCUAUCACUGCUAUGUUGUAGCCUAGUUUCUGUUGUGGCCCUUAAAAGCUCAUAUCAUAUUUGCACCUGUAUGAUGUGUGUGUGCUUGAUGCUCACGUACUAAGUAAGGUUGGUGGUUGUUUUGCGACUGAAUCAUGUUUCAGUUUGAUACCACUAUGCUUUCUCUUGUCAAAUUCGUCCCUGACUAGUAUAGUUAGUACUAUUGCAGCAGGUUGAUUGAUUGAGGGAAAACUCUUGCCUCAGCUUAACAUAUCUAAAAUAUAGUCAAAUUCCUCAACAACAUGUUUGUUUUUUACAACAACAAUGCAUUCAAAAAUCUGACCUGUCUAUAUACACACUUUGUGGAAGAAAUAGGAUAUAUAUGUGCUUCUGUUGCUUCUAUAUUAUGGGAAAACUUUGUUUUUGCCACUCUAGCUUUUGACCACUUUGCUUAUGCCACUCUAGAAUUUUACAUUUCACUUUUGCCACUCUUAGUUUUUGACAAUACAUCACAAUUGCCAUUCCGUGGCAAAAGCAAUAAUUUUAGAGUGGCAAUUACGAUACAUUGUCAAAGUCUAGAGUGGAAAAAAUGAAAUGAAAAGUUAUUGCUUUUGCCACUGAAUGGCAUUUGUGAUAUAUACAUGUACAUUUAGUUAUUCGACAUGCUUCAACAUUUUUCUAUUUGAUUUGGUGUAGGAGGAUGCCUGAGCUAACCAGGAGGACACCCUCGUCCACCUCAGCCACCACACAAGGUCGUCCUUCUAUUUCUUUCGCUGUUUGUUCAUGUGCUACUUGCGUUUCAGUUCCAUUGGCUCCUAUUGCAAACAAGUCUAUACAUUAGACUAGCCCAAGUGUUGUAAGUGCUGGGUGUCCUAGAUACAGAAAUAUACCAAGUGCAAGUGGGUGCUCGUGUUGUGCAUAGUAGCAGAUAUGUUUAUGUGAGCUAUACAAUGGCCUAUUUCUUCCUAAUGAUAUGAACACUAUCUCAUGAUCGAGCAGGUCCCUGCUCUGUUUCUUCUUCUUUUGCAUCAUGUAU